UUAUUGGUUAGGUUCGGAGAACAGAAGCUUGAACAGUUGAGAAAUCAAUCACUGAUUUAUCUUUUGAACAAGCUAGUAAGCUCACUCACUGUCUCUUUCUCUCUCUCUCUCAACAGUCACCACUAAAUGAUUCCCCUUCUAGAUUGCAUCACGGUUGUUGAAUAAAACCAUGAUCAAAAGCUAACAACCUUUAGUGAAAACAAUAUGUAUGUUAUUUCCUUUCCCUGGAAAAAACAUGACAAAAUAGAUACCUAGCUAGAGAGUUUGGAGGCAGAAGAAAAGAAAUUAACAGUGAUCUCAUAACAGUUGCACAGUGUUGUUCGGUUUGUUGUUACCUUCCCCAAACACCCAUAUGACAUUAUCGAAUCCAAAUCAAACCACCAACCUUAAUCUACCAGUAUAAACCACCUAAUCAAUUUUCUGUGAACAAGCAAGAUAGUCUAAAGGAUCAGCACCAGCUAUCGCUAGCCCUACCAAGAAAAAGGCAGCCUAAAUUAGGUUUUUUUUUCAAGGAUACGUCAAGAUGACGUAUCGGAAUCAUAGAUAGAAGAUGCCAAGCCGGCAAAAUUAGUUACAAAUCAUCCCCGGCACAAAGUGUUCGUGAGCCAGGUUGGGUGCCUCCUUAAUUAAUUAGUGCACGGUUUGGUUUGGUAUAUUAAGUGUUCGUGAUUAGUUUAGGGUUACGCAUGCAAAACAAGUGCAUAUCACGCGGCAACUGCUUAGAGCACUGCACAUGCAUGCACCAACCUCCCCAUAAUUUCUCUCUAAAAAUAAGAAAAUCUUCAUGAGAUUAGCAAAUUAAUGAUCAACGUGUGGCCACUCGAAUUUCAUAUAUAGCUGUAGUAUAUGAUUAACUGUUAAUUUGGCAUGUCAUGAUCGAGACUAUGAUCUAAGAAGUAUUAUGAUCUUAUGCGCGCGUGUGUGUGUGCUGUGUGACUUGGCCUGUUUUGGUUGGAAGAAAGAAGAGGCCCAGGUCAACCCCGUGAAAAUCAGGGGACCGAUGAUUGGUUGGUUAAGAAAAUAACGUAACAUUAAGUAAAAGGUUUCGUAGGUCUAGCAUUAUCAGGGUGCGUGUGCGCGUGUGUGUGCGUGUGUGUGUGAUUAGUUUAGCUCUGGCCUUGGGGCCUGCAUAACUUAAAAGGGGAGGAGGCAAGUCAAGAUCAGGGCUCAUGUAAAGUCUCUGCAGGAUCUUUUGGUGCACAACAAUCAACAGGGACGUCCAUUUGUAGAAACUAAUCGAUUAAAUUUGGUCGUUCUACGUGUUACAUGAUGGUAUCUGCAUAUACUACGAUCUAGUCAGUCUCCCAGUACUAAUUAAUAAGCCAACGUCGACGGUGCCUCGUGUUGUUAAUUUAUGCACUGGAGGCUGUCGGUAAGAAUGUCACUAGGAUGGAACAAGUGUACUUAAUGUACUACUACUAAGUACUAACCUAACCAGUAGGAGUGUAUUAGUGUACUGCAGUUGUGAUCUGAAUCGGAUGCGCGUUUAGUCUCCAUCUCGCAAAUUAGGUGGAGUACACACACUAGCUAGUGUACGUAGGUGCUGGUAGUCGUACACAGUAGUGGUCGUACAUCAGACUAAAAAGGACCGGAGGGAGUAUGCAGGUGUGAAAAUCUGUUGGAGCUUGUUUGCACCACGGUCGAAGCGAUCGACCCGGCUAGUACAGUGCGUACGUACGUACGCGCGGGCGUCAAUCGAACUCCGGCCAGCCGUGCGACCACCGCGCGCACGGCUGGGCCGGCCGGCAUGGCCCGCAACGCUCGCGAUCGCGACCGGCUAGCGGACGUACACACGCCCUCCCGUGUGGUCGCCGAUCGAGCUUUCUCCAACGCACGCAAGCUUUCUCUCCGCCGUUCGCCUUCCUUCUUUGUGGACUGUGGUGGUUAAUUUGUGGCGUCUGCAAGUCACCUCCCGGCGCGCGGCGUCCUCUCCCUCCCUCCAUGCUUGCGAGCAGAGCGGCCAUUACUCUGCAAGUCUCCUUCCAUGUCAGAUGGCACUAGCACCGAUCGAUCCGGCCGGUACUACACCCAGACAAAAUUGCACAACAUGUGCGAGCUAGGUAACAGUAAUGUAAUGUUGCUGCUGGAACUGGAAGGCUUGAAAGUGGCGUUCAUUGCCGGCCGGGUAGUCUUAACUUGGACUCAUUUUUUGUAGCAUGCGCGUGGAGAGUCGAGAACGGGAUGAUUGGAGAAUCGAUCGACCACAUUUGACCCUAACGACAUUACAUGGUGCCGUACAGGCGACUCAUCAGUAUGUGGUGCUUUGUGCUUUAUUCGGUUGUCCUUUUGUAGCCUUGCCCUCUCCGACGACCUCGGCUGUCCUUUUGUAGCCUUGCCUUGUAGGUCUUUCAGCAGUAACUUUCAGGCCUUCGCCGCACUCUGUUUUGCUUUACCUGGAGCUUGCUAGCUACUAGCUACUUCCGUUCUGAUUUAUUGGCCCCCCCACAAAUUUUAUGCCAAAUUCUGAUCAUAGAUUUAACUAACAAAAUGUUAAUACAUGUUGCCAAAAUUAUAUCGUUGGAUUCUUAUUCAAACAUAGUUUUUGAUAAUAUUAUUUUUGCUAUGCCUUAUAUUUUAUUAGUUAAAAUCAUGGUCAAAAUAUGACCCUAAAUACAAGUGGGGCUAAAACCAGGAUGGAGGUAGUAGCUGGCAGCUGAGAGCAAAUUUACGACACGUGUAGUUCACGACAGGUAACGUAUUCACUCAUGUAAUCAUGAUGCACCGUAUCUGCCGGGGUUUCGGUGAUUCCCUGAUUUGCUUGGUUCAGCUCAGGAUUGGCGGACUAGAUUAUCGGAACGAGAACAAAAGAGAAGGAACUAGGGUUGUUAUUCAAAACCGAAGGGGAUGAGCAAUUUCGGUCGUCUGAAUCGUCGUAUCCGAUUAAACGGGAGCGAAAACCAGCACAACCCAAACGAACACAUGUAAUGGCUUUCUGAGCCGAUGUAGUCGAUAGCGCGACCCCUAUUUGGGGCAUAGGUCGCCGUGUAGCGGCCUAUCACGUACCUCCCCCUCUCAAGUGCCUCUCCGUUGUAUGGGCCGACCCAUUUUAAAGUUUUCUCUUAUUCAGUUUGCCUGAUUGUUUAUUUAUUAUUUUUCGUUUUCUUUAUAAUUUACUUUAAUUUUUCCUUCUAUUUUUCUUUUUAUUUUCAGUUUUUUCAAUUGUGAAUAUUUUCUGAAAUCAUGAUUUUUUUUUAUAAUUUGCGACUUUUUUAUCAUUAACAUCAUUUACAAACUCAUGAACAAUGUGUGAAUCCUCAAUAACUUUAUAAUUUGUGAAAAUGUUUAGAGAUAGUGAUUUAUUUAUGGAAAGUCAUGAACAUUUUUUUGAAUUGGCGACAAUUUUUAAAUUGAUAACAUUUAAAAAAUUGGGAUCGAUUUUUGAAUGCACGAACAUUUUUUUGUUUUACUAAACAUUUUUUUGAAAUGCCUAAACGUUUUUCGUAUUCACAGACAUUUUUGAAUCAGCUAAUAUUUAUUGACUUGAUGACUUUUGUUAAAAUUGUGGAACAAUUUUUGAAAUUAGUGUACAUUUAAUAAAUAUUUAUGAACAUUUUUAAAGAUUGUGUGAACAUUAUUUGAAUUGUCGAACGCUUUCCAAAGUCAUGAACAUUUUUUUAAUAGGAAAAAAACGUUUUAAGAAAUUGUGAACAUUUUUGAAUAUCUAAACGUUUUUUUCAAAAUCACGAACGCUUUAUUAUUUUUCCAAACAUUUUUAAAAUCAUGAGAAAUUUUGAAUUCAUUAAAAUUCUAUGAUUUCUGAACUUUUUUAUUUAAUAAAGAUUCGCAAUUUGUUUUAAAUUUGGAAUUUUUUGAAAUCUCUAGCUAUUUCAUAGAAGAAAAACAAAAAAAAGAAAAAACAAUGGUGUCCCGCCCCGCCCAUGGGAUGCAUUUUUGACACUAUUCACAUAAGAAAAUUCGAAUGUGAAUAGUAGUAGCUUUGCCUGAAUAGUAUUUUGAUACUUUGUACAUCUGAUUUUGUCUUUUCUUUUUCUAUUAGUGUAGGUCGAAUUUGAAGCUGAAACUUUUUAAGGUUGUACAUCAAACAUUGAUGUGUUUCUACAAAUGUUUUCAGAAUGUUUGAAGAUGUUUUGUAGAAAGAAGAAGAUGUUUUGUAUUUUCACAAAAAGAAAUGAUCUCAUUGAUCUGACCUAAUGUGAGAUCCAAGCCACAUGUGCAUUCUUUCCCCGGCUCAACAUUACUUCUGUCAUGGUAAACAUCAGGGCCCAGACCAGGGGCACGCUUCUUUCCUACUCGAUCGAACUUCCAGAGAGAGCGAGAGAGAGAGAAAGCACAUUAGUGUAAUACUCAAGAAAAGUGGAUGCAAGUCUUGUAACCACGCGACAUGCACGUACGAGAUCGACGUGGCAGUGGUAGUGGCAUGCUCUUUUAAUUGUCCGACGACAACCUCCAACACCAGCGCCGGCAGGGGCGAUGUGGCGCGCCAGUUGUAACUACGAAACCAGCCGGUGCAUGUUAGUCACAAGGGUGUGCGCCUUGGAGAAAAGCUGAAACGGAGCUGACCCGACGGGCAAGAAAAGAGGAGGAUGGCGACGAUGAUUUUGAAUGUUCUUAAUUUCUUCAUCAUGGUGACAAAACGAGACCAACAAGCUUGUCAGUUUAUACAAGUAGCCAAGUUUGUACAUAGAUUCACAAAGCAUAUUCGAACAUAGUUUCGACAAGUUGCCAAGUAGCCAAGCUGGUCGAUUAACUUUUUUGCCCGAUUAUUUAUUCAUUAUUCUUCGUUUUAUUUUGCAUUUUGUUCAUGUUAGUUUCUGCUUUUUUUGCGAACAUCUUUUGAAUUGUGAAUAUUUUCUGAAAUCAUGAACAUUUAGAAUUUGCGAACUAUUUUUGUCAUCAACAUUUUCUACAAAAUCGUGAAUAGUUUUCAAAAUCAUAAAUAUGUUUUGAAUUCGUGAACACUUUUAGAGAUUUUGAAUUUUUUCUGGAAACUCGUGAACAUUUUUUUGAAUCAGCGAACAUUUUUUAAAUUGACAACAUUUUAAAAAAUUGGCUUCAAUUUUCUAAAUGCACAAUUGUUUUUGGUUUUACUGAACAUUGUUUUUAAAUGCAUAAACAUUUUUGAAAUUCAUAGACAUUUUGUAAUCACUGAAUAUUUUUUGAAUCGAUUAUUUUUGUAAAAUUUAGGAGCAAUUUUUUUUUAUAUUUUGGAACAUUUUGAAAAAAUUGCGUGAACAUUGUUUCUGAUCAUGAAUACUUUUCCAAAUUCAAGAUCGUUUUUAGUAUACGCAAACACAUUUUUUUUAGAAAUUGCCAACAUUUCUGCAAUAUGUGAACAUUUUUUUUCAAAAUCAUGAAGAUUUUAUGAUUUUCCCAAAUCAAGAGAAUUUUUGGAUUCACGAACAUUUUAUGAUUUCUUGAACUUUUUAAUCAAAAUUUGCAAUUUGUUUGAAAUUUGGAAUUUGUUGAAAUCCUGAACUAUUUCAUAGAAGAAAGGAAAACAGAAUGAAAAAAAUAAAAAGAACAAGAUGGAAAAACAAGGGCAUCCCGCCCCGCACAUGGAAUGUAUUUUGACACUAUUCACCUAACAAAGUCGAAUCAGAAGCUGAAACUUUUUGAGGUUUUACAUCAAACAUUGUUGUGUGUCUACAAUUUUUUUGGGAAUGUUUGAAGAUGUUUUGUGAAAAGAAGAAGAUUUUUGUAUUUUCAAAAAAGAAAUGAUCUGGUUGAUCUCACCUAAUGUGAGAUCCCCUAAACUAGUCUCGCUACCCAGCAGCCAGCCAGCUGUGCAUUCUUUCCCCGGCUCAACAUUGCUUCCGUUAUGGUAAAACAUCAUGGCCCAGACCAGGGGCAUGCUUCUUUCCUACUCGAUCGAACUUCCAGAGAGAGCAAGCGAGAGAGAAAGCAUAUUAGUGUAAUACUCAAGAAAAGUGCAUGCAAGUCUUAUGACCACGCGACAUGCACGUCUGAGACCGACGUGGCAGUGGUAGCGGCAUGCUCUUUUAAUUCUCCGACGACAACCUCCAACGCCAGCGACGGCCAGGGCGAUGUGGCCCGCCAGUUGUAACUACAAAACCAGCCGGAGUCACAAGGGUGUGUGCCCGUGGAGAAAAGCUGAAAAGGAGCUGACGCCGACGGGCAUGAAAAGAGGAUGGCGACGACGACAUCGAACGUUCUUAAUUUCUUCGUCACGGCGACAAAACGAGACCAGCAAGCUUGUCAGUUUAUACAAGUAGCCAAGUUCGCACAUAGAUUCACAGAGCAUGCACACUUGGUACUGCCUGUAGUUUCUCACUGCUGUUGUCGCACUGAGAGUGAGAGUACGUGACAGGGAUGCACGGCGCGUUGCAGUUCAGAUUUUUCAACCUUCAAUAAAUUCUUUGAUUGGUUCAUGGCUUCAUGCAGGCCGACGGGUCUAUCCGUUGAAACAGGUGACAUAGCACUACCAAAUUUAAGACAGGCAGAUCACAGGUACUUCCUCCGUUCCUAAAUAUAAGUCUUUUUAGAGAUUCCAAUAAAAACUACAUACGGAUGUAUAUAGACAUAUUUUAGAGUGUAGAUUCACUCAUUUUACUCUGUAUAUAGUCCGUAUUGAAAUCUUUAAAAAGACUUAUAUUUAGGAACGAAGGAAGUAUGCAUGCACACCCGAGGGCCAGACGUACAGAUGAUUUGAUCAGCUUGCUGUUCCCAUAUUCCUCCGGGACGCGACACACACACGAACACGGCGGCUAAGCUAGAUUAUUCCAUCGGAAACAGUUCGCCACGAAUCAUGAUGAUGAUCCUGUCUGACUUAUCCAAUUUCUCCCUGUCCUCCAGGAAGACAUCACCUUUUGCGAGCAUCACCUUUCGUUAUUCACUCGUGGAAAGAUUGAUCCCAUUUUCACAGGGGGGACAAGCCGUAUCUCCAUCAUCCUCUAAAAUUCCCUGUGCUAUUUGACAAAUUCCACCGCGGCAAGCUGUGCCGCAACAACGGCCUGCUAGCGGCCUGCUCGUGCGGUCGUGCCGACACUUCACCGGUCAACCCACCGAAUGGUACAUGGGCCCGUGUCGAGUUAUCGUGCCACUAAACAAGGAGGGCAACAGCUUACAGUGAUAUAAUUAGCCUGCUGACAGGUCAGGGUUGCCAUGAAGACUGGAUCAAUCACUGAAUUAUUAGUCGGUAAGCUCACUCUCCACUCAAUGAUUAUGUUUCUAGAAUCUAGAUUGCAUGCACGGUUGUUGAAUAUAUAAAACCCUGAUCAGAAGUUAACAAUCUUUAGUGAAAACAACAUGUACAUUAAUUUCUUUCCACCAUGACAAAACAUGCCAAUGGCUAGCUAGCUAGAGAGCUUAGCGGCAGAACAAAAGCUUAUGUUACAAUACAUGGUGCCAGUCCAAUCUCAGAGACUCUAGCAUAUGUCAUCGUCGAAGCCAAAUCACAUCACCUACCUUAAUUAAUCAGCACAAACCCCCUAAUCCACCCCAUAUGGCUGGGCUAUCUGAUACACCCCACUUUCAGCCCAACGCUCUUGGACGCGUCCACAACGUCAGACUAGCAUGUGGGCCCUUGGGGAAACCAAUCGUCCGCCCUGGAGGCUGGAGCUCACUAGUUCGGUGCACUUAUUCAUGGCGCCACGUCGGCGUGUUGCCAGAGGAGCCACCCACCCGGCUAUUAAAGCCGAACGGCCAGGGACAUUCUGUCUUAAUAGGAAUGAUAAACUAAUCAUAUAAACAAGGUGCACCCUUUUUCGGGAGCCCAUCCGAAAGAAACCUUAAAGUUAAGCGUGUUUGACUUGAAGCAAUUUGAGGAUGGAUGAUCGACCGGAAAGUUGAUCUCGUGUGCGCACGAGUGAGGACAAAAUACGCAUAAAAAGACUAGUGUUGGUCUAUGAGGCUAGUCUAGAUUCCAGGCUCAACGGCCAGGGACCGGUGGAUUUGGUCGGGGUGUUACAUUUCCUCCCUUCCCCUCGGGUCCCCAUCGUCCUCGUGUCCCUAUCCACUCUGACCUUCUCAUCAGCCAUGGUCCACGAGAAGGUCACAUACUACAAGAUGCUCAAGUUGGAGCGUCGAGCGGAGCUUGCGAUAGAGGUGCGCGCCGCCGAGGCAUGACGCGGCCCACAUUGUGGCCGGGUAACCUUCGACCUCCUCGGAGCCGUGCUUGGAGUAGGAGGAGGAGGAGGAGACGGGCAUGCAGGUUGACCCCGCCUCCAGGUUCAAGGUGGUGAUGCCACGGCUGACGAGGGCGACAACAUCCGCUUCCUCUCCAUGGAGAAGGCAGACGAGCAGUUCCUCCUUGCCUAAGCCGAGGAAACGAAGCACCUCGCGGCGGAGGCGCAAGUCGAGCUCGAGGCCGAGCACACAUGCAAUGUUGCUUUUGCCAAGCUCGCCGCCGCCCCUACCAUCGUGGUCGAUAUCUGCACCAUCCUUCACUCCCUCAAGUCCAAGCAGGUGGGGGAGGAGAACCGACGCGAAAUCCACCUCUGCGACGUCAAGUGGGAGCGGCUCUUCCCGGACGACGCUGACGACGAGGAGACACCCUAGAUUCGACCCGCCCCCUAUGACUACAAGGCCAUCAGCUUCGGCAAGGGGAUCAUUGAGCUCUUCCCCGACGAGGAUUAGGAGUAGGCUAGUAUCUAAUUUACAAUCCCAUUUUCCCGAUGAAGCUUGUUUUUAUCUACCUAUAUAGUAUGAACUAAGUGUAAAAUGGGCGUUGCAUGGUUUUGUAUGGAUUUGAGCGUUUGCAAGUGCACUGUGAGGUUGGCCCGCCAAACAAACGGGGGUGCGGCUGCUUCAACCGUGAUUGAAGAUGCUUAACAUAGUAAAGUAGGAGUAUAUGAGUGUUCUGGAGUUGUAAUAGGACGAGGCUAUAAACUAAUGACAAAUCUUUGUAUUUUCGACGUGCAAAAUGGAACUCACCUUGGUGAGAUAAACUACAUAUCCAGGUCCUGAAAUCUGAAUCACAUGCUUGUUCAGUUCAGUCUCCAUCGCAAAUCAGGUCGAGUACACACACUGGCUAGUGUACGUAGGUGCUGGUAGUGGUGCAUGCAUUGAUUUCUCUACCGAUCGUUGAGGUACGUAUACAGGUACGCUUCGUGGAUCAGUAACGGACAAGCUUUCAAAUCGAUCCGGGCGACAUGAUUCGCCAUACGAAACUCCGCACGAUCGACUAUGAUAUGAUAUGAUCCCCCGCCCUUUGGUUUGGUUUGAAAAUGGCAGCGCUCGGUCGCAAACUCGAUAGGAAAAGGAGAGGCUGCCUACCUCCGGUGAAGUAGCUUCCAACUUUGCCAAAAAGAACAGUACACUAGUGGACAAGCCCACAACUGCAAGCAUGCAUCGAGCCAAAGAGCAUGCACGCAUGGAUGGGUAACGGAUCAAUCCAAAUCCGCGGAACGAAUGCUGGUCAUCAUAUCCACGGUCAAACCGGCCCCUCGGGCUGAAAGCAAAAGCACUCCCAGAGUCAUGAGCGACUUCAAUUAUUUCUUGUUCCAGAUUACAAAGACCAAGUUUUUGCCUCUUUCGAUCUAUGAUCAGAAAUGUUGACGUCCCUUGCGUACGUAAACGGCGUACGAGGAUCGAUGCCUACGUAGACGGCCACCAGCCAUGCAGCAACGCUUGACAGUUACGUGCAAAUCCGUUGGGACUCGCCUAGCAUUGCUUGCACCACGCUCGAAGCGACCGUCGACCGGCCGGUACGUACCUACGUGCGUACGCGCGUCGAUGAUCGAUGGAGCUCCGGCUAACCGUCCGCCAGGCACGGACGGCCGGGCACCGGCAUGGCAUGGCCCGCAUGCAACGCAACGCUCGCGAUCGCGACCGGCUAGCGGACGUACACACGCCCUCCCGUGUGGUCGCCGGUCGAGCUUUCCACAACGCACGCAAGCUUUCCCUCCUCCACUCUCCGCCGUUGCCUUCCCUUCCUCCUUUGUGGACUGUGGUGGUUAAUUGUGGCGAUUGCAAGCCACCUCCCGGCGUUCGGCCUCCCUCCCUCACUCUUCAGUAGAGCGCCAUCAUUGGCCAUUGCUCCUCAAGCUACGUACGCACUCCUCCAUUGGCGCUAUCAUCGAUCGAUCCGGCCGGUACUAUAGUUGCGCACAAGCGAUGCGUCACUAAGCACGUAGUAGUAGUACCCAUACAUCGACGUCGUGCAACUUUUAUUUGCGUGUGUCCUUCUCUACGCACCAACCGGCCGGGCAAAAACAGAAAACGGAUGGAACCCGCAUUAACUGACACGUACGUACUGUGGCAGCACCGCAACGGAAAGCGUGCAACUCGUGAUGCAACUGAAGAUGCAUGCAUGCUUUGUUUUUCCUCAGGGAUUUGAUUGCACGAUUGAAACUAAUCAACACAAGCCCUCCUCAGGAAUGUGCCGUACUACGACCACCUUAACAAAAAUGCACAACACAUGCGUGCUAGAACAAUAAUGCUGCCGCUGGAAGGCUUCAAAAAAGGCGUUUGUGGCCGGCCGGGCGAUCUUAAUUUGGACUGUUUUUUUUAGCAUGUGCGUGGAGAGUCUGAGAGCCGGAUGAUUGCAGAAUCGACCACAUUUGACGCAAACGGUGUUGCCUCACACAUGGUGCCGUGCGGGCGACUCAAGCAAUGGAGCAUGGCUUUUCCUGUCCUUUUUUAUCAACUGUAUCUGUCAGUCUGGGCCACUCGUGCAACAUCUCCUGUUAUGGAUACAGAAGCCUCCUUUUCCCUUCAAGUACAAGGAUCGGGUACUUUGAGCUUUAUUCGGCGUGUAUACCCAGCCGGGCCCUCCCGGGCGACCUUGCUGUCCCGCUGCAGGUCAUAUUAAUUACUCUAUCUGUCGUAUAAUAUAAUAUAAGAGUGUUUUUUGACACUACGCUACUGUAAAAAACACUCUUAAAGCAACUCCAACGCGCUACACAAAUGGACGGUGCUUUAUCCACUUUUCGUCUGUUUGGAUCGGCCGCCUUUUUGAUUUGGGUUGGCAGUGUGUCCAACGCGCCGACUCAUAUUUGCCGGCGUUGCCGGCUGGCCGGCCUAUUUCACAAAAUAUGCACACAUUUUGCAUUAUUUCACAAGCAGAUAUAUGAAAAAUAGCAUUGUUUCACAACCAAAUAAGCAUAGUUUCCAAACCAAAUAAAUUAAGUAUAUUUUUACAAGCCGAAUAAAAAUUAAAUUGUCUCAAAUACAUGUGAAAAAAAGAUACAUCUACUGGUUGCCAACAUGAGCUCACAUAUGCUCAAUCAAAUCAUUUUACAGCUGCAUGUGAGUUUCAAAAUCACGCAUGUCAUGAUGAAAUUGGGUGAACUGUUCAAAUGUUGUUGCUCCUCCAUGCUCAGACACAACAUACUCGACCUGGAACUGAAACCCUUGAUCGUAGAUACGUUCCGGGCGCUCAUAUUCUACGAUCAUAUUGUUUUUUUUUGAAGGACCAGCCUAGGCUGGUGUUUCAUUGAUAAUAAGCAGGGAGCAGAUGACAAAGCGAUAAAGGUGGGGAUCCGGAGAUCAAGGAAAUAAGGAAGAAGAAAGAAAAAUCAAAGUGCCCAAGGCACAUGCAGCUAGCCUAUUCUCCCGGCGGAUCCCCGAAGGGGCUCUGAAUGGACCUGAAGCCGGCUUGCUGCCAGAGGCUUAGUCCUCUCCUGAUCGCGAUAAGCAUGUUUUCCACAUUGGCCUCUUUUCCCCUAAAGACGCAGCGAUUCCUCUCCUGCCAGAUCUCCCAUAGGGCAAGCAUUGCAAGAGUCUUGAUCGUAGAGGCUUAGUCCUCUACGACCAUAUUGUGCAUGAUCACACAAGCUGUCAUCACCUCCCACAAUUUCUUGGUGCUCCAAGUCCUAACAUGAUAUCGAACGAUGCCCCACCGAGAUUGCAAAACACCAAAGGCACGCUCGGCGUCCAUCCUAGCACUCUCUUGCCCUUGGGCAAAUCUUUUUCUUUUCUCUCCGACAAGGUUGGGGAUUGUCUUUACAAUAGUGGUUCACUGAGGAUAGAUACCAUCACCUAGGGAGUAUCCUUUGUCGUAGUUGUGGCCGUUGAUGGUAACAUUCACCGGCGGGUUGUUGCCUUCGGCAAGCCUUACAAACACCGGUGAGCAUUGAAGCAUGUUGAUAUCAUUGUGUGAUCCGACCAUGCCAAAUAAAGAGUGUCAAAUCCAGAGAUCUUGUGAGGCCACAGCCUCAAGUAUGACAGUCCAAGCCCUGACAUGACCCUUAUACUGCCCUUGCCGAGCAGAAGGGCAGUUCAUCCAGUCCCAGUGCAUGCAGUCUAUGCCGCCAAGCAUCCCUGGGAAGCCCCUGCUGGCAUUCAUCGCCAACAAGCGGGCUGUAUCUUGAGGAGUCCGCUCUCUCAAGUACUCAGGGCCAAACAUAGUAAUCACAGCCUUGCAGAACUUGUACAUGGAGUCUAGACAUGUAGACUCUCUCAUACGAACGUACUCAUCAAUGAGAUCACCGGGCACUCCGUAUGCAAGCAUCCGGAUGAGUGUAGUGCAUUUUUGAUAAGAUGAGAAACCAAUCUUUCCAAGGGCAUCCUCUUUUCACUCGAAAUAGUUAUCGUAUCCGACCACCCCCUCUCUAAUACGGUUGAAAAGGUGCCUACUCAUACGGAAACGCCGCCGGAAUUUCUGAUGGUUGAACAGCGGGUUGGUUGAGUCAAAGUAGUCCUUCCAAAGAAGGAAAUGGCCACUCUCUCGGUUGCGAUUCAACGCCGGAAGGUGCCCCGGGAUCGCGGCCGCUGGCUAUUAAGGUGGUGAUGGACCAGUACGGCAGCCAAGAUCUCGUCCUCAUCAUCGGACCAGGAAUCGUCGGAGUCGCAAAGGAAAUUGUGGAAAAAGAACUCAUCGACGGAGUCCAUUUUGUACCUUGGCAAACUGUCGAACAGCUUGCGGGCGUCGACGAAAGAGUUGGCCGGCGAAGAGAGCACGCCUCCCUUGGACCAGGUGGCUGGCUUGCCGGCGUCCGACGAGCGUGCCCGCGUCAGGACGAAGGAGCUGGCCGGGGCGGCGAGGCGACUUCCUGCUCCGGGCGGCGUCGUGAGGUCGGGGUGAGAAGCUUCGAUGCCUCGGCGACGAGACGGUGGUGGCGGCGAGGUGGCGACGUUGGGGGGAGGUCUGUCGGCACCGACUGCUGGCAGAGGCACCGAGAAAUGGGCGGCGGCGACAACGCGGCGGAGGCGGGCGAGGGUUUGCUGUCAAUAUGGGCUGGGAGAGGAUGUCCAAUGUACUGCCACCGACUAGUGGGCCAGGGGGAUGAGUACGCGGGCGCCGCGCGCGUCCGUCUUGUAUCCACGCUGACACAAAUGAGGCUAAAAAAUGGUCAGUAGGCAGACGAAAAGCGGACGCGCGUCCAUUUGGGUGGGCGCAUUAGGCCGACUUUUUUGUCCAUCGCGACCCAAACGGACCGCGCUGACAAAAUGGGUCGCCGCGUUGUAGUUGCUCUGAUAUUAUGGGACGGAUGAAGUAGUUGGUUUUGAUGAUCACCAGACAUGCCGCUGGUAGGGAUGUUAGGAUAAUCAACAGUAAUAAACUGGUGGUAUUCCAUAGCAGCGCGAUCUAGGUAAACCUUGGGCAAAGGAUAAUCAUGCAGACGUAUCUGAACGUUAAAGCGAGUAGCGUAAAUACCACCAUGAAUUUUACCCUUUGAUUUUUUAAUGUGAAGGCGACGUGCCACAAUAGCUCCCAAGCUAUAAGUGUUGUCGCCUUCAAGUGCACGACGUAAAACAACAAGGUCUGGGGCACUGAUUGCACCCACCUUCUGUCUAGCAAGCAAGCUUUUGCAAUGAAAAGAGCAAAAUAAUGAACAACAGGAAAAUGCAAGCCAGCUGCGGUGAUACUCGACACCCCUCUCUCAUCACCCACUAUCAGAGUACGAUAAAAUCCUUCAAACUCUGCAGGCCUAGGCUCUACCAAACCACCAUCAAAAGGAAGCAAGCAUAUUUCACAAAAUUCAGUAAGUGGCAUCUGAUGGGGUUCAGCAUAUAACUUAAACUGCACCUCAGGGGGAUUAUUCCUAGGAAGAAAAUUAAAACUUUGCACAAAGGAAUUUUUGAGGAGAUGAUAUUGUUCACAUUCAGCUGCGAUGAAGUCGUGGGGCCGGGAUUAGCAGCAUAUUGUGCAAACUCUUGAAGGAUUCCGGCCCCUUCCAUGAACGGGGCACGCGGCCAUUCGCACGGCCGUACUUCCGCUAUUCUCCGGGUCUGGAGAUCACUGUCAGACGACUCCCCAAUAACUCCCUUGGAGUUCUUCUUGGAAGCAAACUUCCUAAAGAUACUCAUGUUUUUCCUAUGAACAAAAUUUCUGAAAUUUUUAGUCCACAAAAUUUUCUCAACAAAACUUUACAAGAUUGGUAGCAACUACUCAUAGGGAUGCAUAGAGGCCAUAGCAAGCAUUCAAACUACUUAAAAUUCUAAGAAUUCAACAUGCAAGCUCAACUACAGCAGCACCAAGAGUAGCUAAUUAUUCAAAAUAUAAACCACUAAAGCAAAAAAUAAUUGGACAAACGGAGGAGUCACAUACCAAGCAACAAUCCCCCGAAACAGUUUCGGAAACGGAGCUUCGAGCAAAGAGAUCGAAAUCCGCAGGUUUGAGAGCAAGAACACGAGAGAGAGCAAUGGUGAUUUUUUUUCUGGAGGUAGGUGGUGAUAUGGGAUGAAGAGAUAAGUGAGGGGGCCCAAGUGGGGACCACAACCCGCCAGGGAGCGCCUGGGGGUCCUGGCUCGCCCAUGUGGGUUGUGCCCACCUGGUGCACCUCCCUCUAAUAUUAUUUGCACCAAAAAUUCUGAAAUAUUCAGAAAAAAUCGUAUUAAAAUUUCAUAGCAUUCCGAGAACCUUUAUUUUUGGGUCAUUUUUUUAUUGCACGAGAAAUUCAGAAAACAGACAAAACAUCCCAUUUUAUUUUAUUUAACUAAUAAAAACAGAAAACAAAAGGUAGUGACAGAAGGUAGUGCUUACUAAAUUCAUCAACUUCAUACCUCUAAAAAAUGAUCCAUUAAUAAGGUUGAUCAAGUCUUAUUAACAACCACUUUCGAUUAGCAUGAAACCGAAGAACUUUCGUAAAUCACUAAGUUACCUCAACGGGGAUAUGAAUGUCCCCAACAAUAAGCAUUUCAUAUUUCUUUUUGGCAGUAGGCAGAGGUAGUUGAAAACUUCCAAUAGUGAUUGUUAGAGAUUUUUCAAUAACAUUAAUACCAUUCACUUGGAAUGGUUUCUUCGGAAAGUGCACCGUAUGCUCAUUACCAUUGAUAUGAAAAGUGACCUUGCUUUUAUUGCAAUCAAUAACAACCCCUGCAGUAUUCAAGAAGGGUCUAUCAAGGAUAAUCGACAUGUUGUCGUCCUCGGGCAUCUCAAGUAUAACAAAGUCAGUCAAAAUAGUAACAUUAGCAACAACAACGGGCACAUCCUCACAAAUACCGAUAGGUAUGGCAGUUGAUUUGUCAGCCAUUUGCAAAGAUAUUUCAGUAGGUGUGAGUUUAUUCAAAUAAAGUCUUUUAUAUAAAUAUAAAGGCAUAACACUAACACCAGCUCCUAGAUCACACAAAGCAGUUUUCACAUAAUUUCUUUUUAUGGAGCAAGGUAUAGUUGGUAUUCCCGGAUCUCCAAGUUUCUUAGGCACUCCAUCUUUAAAAGUAUAAUUAGCAAGCAUAGUGGAGUUUUCAGCUUACGGUAUUUUUCUCUUAUUGGUGAUGAUGUCUUUUAUAUACUUUGCAUAAGGAGGCAUUUUAAGGAUAUCAGUCAAGCGAGUACGUAAAAAGACUGGCCUCGGCAUUUCAGCAAAGCGUUCGAAUUCUUCAUCAUCUUUCAUUUUAGUUGACUUAGGUGGAAAUGGCAUAGGUUUUUGAACCCAUGGUUCUCUUUCCUUAUCGUGUUUUCUAGCAAUAAAGUCUCUUUUAUCAUAUCUUCUAUUCUUGGGUUGUGGGUGUCGGUGUCAAAACCGGCGGAUCUCGGGUAGAGGGUCCUGAACUGUGCGUCUAAGGUCGAUGGUAACAGGAGACAGGGGACACGAUGUUUACCCAGAUUCGGGCCCUCUCUAUCACUACUAGGGAAAACCCUAGCAGUAGCGCGUGUUUAAAGCCUAUCAGUAGCGCGGGAUGUGGCGCUACUAGUAAGGCGCUACAGCUAAAGGUUAGCAGUAGCGUGGGUUGGAGCACGCUACUACUAUAUUGACUUAGUAGCAGCGCUUUGUACUAUGAGCGCUACUGGUAAUUAGUAGUAGCACUUCUCUUAGCACACGCUACUACUUUUAUUCCGUAUUUAUUUUUUAUUUCAUGUUGUAUUCAUACACCUUUAUACAAGUUUUCAUACCGCAACAAUUUAGAGAAUGAUUUUACAUCAUAAUGAGUUACUACAUCACUGGGAGAAAGAACCGUGGACUAGUUUCAAGUGGAUGGACAUCCACUUGAAACUAAUCAGCGGUUCUUUCACCCAAUGAUAUAAUAUAUCAUCAUCAUAUCAUUAACAACUUAUCAUCGGAAUACAUCAUGGUCAUAUAACACCUCCUCAUGAUCAUCGUUUUCAUCAAUGAGACAUCACAUACAAGUUGGUCACUAGACAUAAUCACAACUACUCAUCAUCAUCAACUCUCAUAAACAUAUUGUACCUCAUAGGAUCUACUACAUUCUCUUAGGACCUACUAUAUUAUCUUAGGUAAAAUAGCAUAAAACAAGAUAGCCCCUGACUCUCCAUUAUGGAGAAUGGAGAUUAUCCUGUCUCCAAUUCUUGCCUUUCGCACAAUGUUGCUUCCCAGAACCUCCUUACCACUGUCCAUACAUUUUUUCCAUUCUUUGAUUAUCAUGUGUUCACCGGUUUUAGAAACCCGGUAUGGACAGGUGAGAUUCGUAGGAUGGCCUGGCUGUAUGUUCAAAACAUCAAGCGACCAUUCUGAUACAUCAAAUGAGGCACACAAUCCACCGGGAUUUUCUGUUGAAAAACAUAGCAAUAACUUCAUAGUUAGCAAUGAUGUACUAGUUUUAGAAGUAUGCAAAAGAUGCACGGAUGUCAUAAUAGUAAAAAAUCUUACCAGGGAAUCUCCUUGGAAGUUACCGUGGUUCAACACUUGCACUUGUGGCACGUAUCGACCAUAAUUUGGAGGAGUUCGAUAAAAGGCAUUGUAAUUCUCAAGAUCAGUACAAUAUGCGACCAGAUGACUUUUCUCCUGAUAAGUUAACUCAGAGCCAUCGGUGUAGUUGGUUCUGUCUACCAUCUUCCGCACAUUCUUUGAAGAAUGAAAGUAAGCUAUCAAUGGAAAUAAGCUGUCAACUAUUUUGAAAUAAACAAUAUAAAUUACUUAAUAACUAUGUUUGAGGAACUCACAUAGCGGUAGAAUUGGAAGCGUAUCAACAAGGACCCAAAUGUCCAAAUUGUCUUGGUCGAUGUCAGGAUCACCAAGAUCCAUGGUGACAAACAUACCCUCUUGAAAAUCAUACAUUUUGCAAAGUGCUUCCCAACCCGGGGAACCAAAAUGGGAUACGCUCUUAGAAUUGUAUAGAUUUACCUCAAAAUCCAUACCAUGAUGGGUCCUUAGGUUAAUUUUCUUUGUUUCAUUCCUCUCAUGGUCUUCAAAACCCAUCCUCUCCAAGACAUAGCGUCUUGCAUGGCAUGGGAUAAGCUAGUCGAAUUGUAAAAGACGAAAAUUACACGUUGAAGUAGUAGAAGUCGAGCUUAAUUAUGGAAAAAACACUUUGCAUCGUAGCUUACCGUAUCACAAUUGAAGGCCUCCUCGAGCUUAACGCUGAAGCGGCGACCUUCGUCCAGGUGAGGCCUGUCGCAGAAACCCCGGUUGUCGCCGCACCAGGAGCACUCCUCGGGACCUUCUUCGUCUGACGACAUUUCCUAUGUUCAUAAUUCAAAGAUUAAACUUGUACAAUUAAACUCUCAGCUUGUUCAUUAUUCAACACGGGUUGAUUAUUGGUCUGUCAAGUCUUUUCUUGAAAACUCUCAGCUCACGUGGUGUAUAUAUUCGACCGUCGGUGAUGGUAGCUCCUCAUUUCGUUCCCGAGUGCAUUACACCAAAUUGUCUAGCACACGGGAACGAAGGAGAAGCUACCCCCACGACAACAGUCGGGAUUCUUCGUCCUCUCAUAUAUGGUGGAGACUCUCCCUCACUGAUUCCUCUCUGACAUUUGCGACCAUCGGUGAUGGUCGUUACUCCUCCUUCCCCUAGUGCAUAACAAAGGUCUAGCACCCGGAGAAGAAGGAGAAACGACCCCCACGACAACAGUCGGGAUUCUUCGGCCUCGACAGACUUAAAGUCAACCCGAAAUAUCGUUAAUUUAUCUUUCUAGAAAAUCUAGGACACUCGAUAUUUCCUACAUAUUCUAGCACAAGUCAUGCCAAAAUUCACGGAAAAUUCCGGCAUGACCUUUGCUAAAACAGGACAUAUCGAGCGCCUGAAAUUUGCCGAAACGGAAAUUAAUCAACACUCCGGCAAAACAUAGGCCACAGGGAGGUGUAACCUGAACAUGACCGGCCACUUGGGCAACCACAUAUCCUAUUUGAGCAACACAAGAUAUACAUGUUUUUAUCUACAUCAUAUCUUAUAGGACUCAUAUUGACAUGUAUAUUUGGCUGGUCUCACCUCGAGAUCGGAGGGGGUCGGUGACGGGGACGACGGCGGGGAUGAUGGAGGGGCUCCUAGAUUUCGUCAAAAACAAAAACCCUAUAAGUUAUCACUAAUACAUCCCGAAUAGUAUCAUACAUAUAACAUCACUAAUACAACUAAAACCCUAGCGAACGACGGGUAUCGACGACGAGGAUGCGGGAUAGGCAUCGUCGACGUCGAUGCGGGAAUAAUUGCUUAAACUAAAAAAAUAACAACAAAUGUGACAUGUUCAACUAGUUAUAUUAAUUCAACUAGUUCUUAGUAAAUAUAAACUUACUAUAAAUAGAAAUAAACUAGUUCUUUCUGAAAAUAAACUAUUUCAACUUGUUAUAUUAAUUUUCUUACUAAAAAUACAUUAGUUCUAUUAAUUCAACUAGUUCUUACUAAAACUAUACUAGUUCAACUAGUUUAUUAAUUUACUUACUAAUUAUUUUAAACACUUACUAAAAACAGUAAAAAAACUACAUUAUACAAUAGUAAAAAACUACAGUGAAAAACAAAAAAAAAGAGAUGGAGGGNNNNNNNNNNNNNNNNNNNNNNNNNNNNNNNNNNNNNNNNNNNNNNNNNNNNNNNNNNNNNNNNNNNNNNNNNNNNNNNNNNNNNNNNNNNNNNNNNNNNNNNNNNNNNNNNNNNNNNNNNNNNNNNNNNNNNNNNNNNNNNNNNNNNNNNNNNNNNNNNNNNNNNNNNNNNNNNNNNNNNNNNNNNNNNNNNNNNNNNNNNNNNNNNNNNNNNNNNNNNNNNNNNNNNNNNNNNNNNNNNNNNNNNNNNNNNNNNNNNNNNNNNNNNNNNNNNNNNNNNNNNNNNNNNNNNNNNNNNNNNNNNNNNNNNNNNNNNNNNNNNNCGGAGGAGGAGGAGGGAGGAGGGAGGGGAGGAGGAAGGAGGGAGUACCUCGGCGAGGAGCAGCGCGGCGGCGGCGGACGACGUACGGGCUCGGCGCGGGCGAGAGCGAGUGAGAGGGAGUGAGUGUGAGCGACGGUGAACCACUCCAGGAUAAGGUAAGUAAGUAGUAGCGCAUUUCAGAGAAACGCGCUACUGCUACGGGCCGUAGCAGUAGCGCUGGUCAGUGGUACGCGCUACUGCUAAGUGGGGCUAGCCAUCUGCGCCCAGUACAAAUAUAGCAGCAACGCGGUUUGGCAGAACGCGCUACUGCUAAAGUAGUAGCAGUAGCGCGGUCUAUUUAAAAACGCCACUACUAAGUAGCAGUACCGCCCUGUUUUGUCCAGCGCUACUACUAAGAUGCUGUGUAUAAGGUUUUUCCUAGUAGUGUAUGGAGGUAAUACCCUACUUCCUGCUUGAUUGAUCUUGAUGAAUAUGAAUAUUACAAGAGUUGAUCUACUACGAGAUCGUAAUGGCUAAAACCCUAGAAGUCUAGCCUAUAUGAUUGUGAUUGCCUCUACGGACUAAACUCUCCGGUUUAUAUAGACACCGGAGGGGGCUAGGGUUGUACAAAGUCGAUUACAGAGAAAGGAAUCUUCAUAUCCAAACGCCAAGCUUGCCAUCCACGCCAAGGAGAGUCCCAUCCGUACACGGGAGAGAGUCUUCUGUCUUGUAUCUUUACGGCCCAUCAGUCCGGCCCACGUUACAUAGUCCGGACGCCCGAGGACCCCUUAAUCCAGGACUCCCUCAGUAGCCCCUAAACCAGGCUUCAAUGACGAGGUGUCCGGCGCGCAGAUUGUCUUCGGCAUUGCAAGGUGGGUUCCUUCUCCGAAUUCUCCAAAACAGUCUUCGAACACAAAGAACCUGUCCGGCUCUGCAAAACAAGUUCCACACACAACCGCAGAGAGUAUAAUAUUUCACGAGUCCAAUCCACUGACAACUUUUGUAGCGUGACACCACGUCACCACCCGGUCAUUAUUUCAAACUGUUUUUUAGCCUGUCGCUCCAUGUUUUGAGACGCGGUUUUAUUGGCACGUCUUGUCAAAGAAGAGAUCGUGUCCCCUUAUUGUGGGAUCCUCAUCAAUACGGGCGUGGGUAACCCAACCGUCCCAUUGGCAUGAUUCCUUGGGAAUAGACAGGUUUUAAGGCCUAUGAGGAGGCGUUCGAGAUUCAUCGUCUCUAUAAAGGGGCACAGACCCGUCUUUCUCCUCUACGCCUGCCUCUUCAUCAACCUUUCUUGUUGGAAAUAUGCCCUAGAGGCAAUAAUAAAUGGUUAUUAUUAUAUUUCUUUGUUCAUGGUAAUUGUCUAUUAUUCAUGCUAUAAUUGUAUUAUCCGAAAAUCGUAAUACAUGUGUGAAUACAUAGACCACAACGUGUCCCUAGUAAGCCUCUAGUUGACUAGCUCGUUGAUCAACAGAUAGUCAUGGUUUCCUGACUAUGGACAUUGGAUGUCAUUGAUAACGGGAUCACAUCAUUAGGAGAAUGAUGUGAUGGACAAGACCCAAUCCUAAGCAUAGCUCAAAGAUCGUGUAGUUCGUUUGCUAGAGCUUUUCCAAUGUCAAGUAUCUUUUCCUUAGACCAUGAGAUCGUGCAACUCCCGGAUACCGUAGGAGUACUUUGGGUGUGCCAAAUUUCACAACGUAACUGGGUGACUAUAAAGGUACACUACGGGUAUAUCCGAAAGUGUCUGUUGGGUUGGCACGGAUCGAGACUGGGAUUUGUCACUCCGUGUGACGGAGAGGUAUCUCUGGGCCCACUCGGUAAUGCAUCAUCAUAAUGAGCUCAAUGUGACUAAGGAGUUAUUCACGGGAUCAUGCAUUACGGUACGAGUAAAGAGACUUGCCGGUAACGAGAUUGAACAAGGUAUUGGGAUACCGACGAUCGAAUCUCGGGCAAGUAACAUACCGAUUGACAAAGGGAAUUACAUACGGGAUUGAUUGAAUCCUCGACAUCGUGGUUCAUCCGAUGAGAUCAUCGUGGAACAUGUGGGAGCCAACAUGGGUAUCCAGAUCCCGCUGUUGGUUAUUGACCGGAGAGGCGUCUCGGUCAUGUCUGCAUGUCUCCCGAACCCGUAGGGUCUACACACUUAAGGUUCGGUGACGCUAGGGUUGUAGAGAUAUGAAUAUGCGGAAACCCGAAAGUUAUUCGGAGUCCCGGAUGAGAUCCCGGACGUCACGAGGAGUUCCGGAAUGGUCCGGAGGUGAAGAAUUAUAUAUAGGAAGUCAAGUUUCGGCCACCGGGAAAGUUUUGGGGGUUAUCGGUAUUGUACUGGGACCACCGGAAGGGUCCCGGGGGUCCACCGGGUGGGGCCACCUAUCCCAGAGGCCCCAUGGGCUGAAGUGGGAAGGGAACCAGCCCUUAGUGGGCUGGGGCGCCCCCCAUGGGCCUUCCCCUGCGCCUAGGGUUGGAAACCCUAGGGUGGGGGGGCGCCCCACUUGCCUUGGGGGGCAAGUCUCCCCCCUGGCCCCCCCAUGUAGAUGGGUUCCUGGCCGGCGCCCCCCUCCCAGGGGGCCUAUAUAAGGGGGGGGGAGGGAGGGCAGUAGUAUUACAGCCUUGGGCGCCUCCCUCCUCCCCUGCUACACCUCUCCCUCUCGCAGAAGCUCGGCGAAGCCCUGCCGAGAUCCCGCUACAUCCACCACCACGCCGUCGUGCUGCUGGAUCUCCAUCAACCUCUCCUUCCCCCUUGCUGGAUCAAGAAGGAGGAGACGUCGCUGCACCGUACGUGUGUUGAACGCGGAGGUGCCGUCCGUUCGGCACUCGGUCAUCGGUGAUUUGGAUCACGGCGAGUACGACUCCAUCAACCACGUUCAUUGGAACGCUUCCGCUCGCGAUCUACAAGGGUAUGUAGAUGCACUCCUUUCCCCUCGUUGCUAGUAUACUCCAUAGAUGGAUCUUGGUGAGCGUAGGAAAAUUUUAAAAUUCUGCUACGAUCCCCAACAGUGGCAUCAUGAGCCAGGCCUAUGCGUAGUUACUAUGCACGAGUAGAACACAAAGCAGUUGUGGGCGUUGAUGUUGCCAAUUCUUCUUGCCGCUACUAGUCUUAUCUUGUUUCGGCGGUAUUGUGGGAUGAAGCGGCCCAGACCGACCUUACACGUACGCUUACGUGAGACAGGUUCCACCGACUGACAUGCACUAGUUGCAUAAGGUGGCUAGCGGGUGUCUGUCUCUCCUACUUUAGUCAGAACGGAUUCGAUGAAAAGGGUCCUUAUGAAGGGUAAAUAGAAAUCGGCAAAUCACGUUGUGGUUUUACGUAGGUAAGAAACGUUCUUGCUAGAAACCUAUACAAGCCACGUAAAAACUUGCAACAACUAUUAGAGGACGUCUAACUUGUUUUUGCAGCAAGUGCUAUGUGAUGUGAUAUGGCCAGAAGAUGUGAUGAAUGAUAAAAGUGAUGUAUGAGAUUGAUCAUAUUCUUGUAAUAGGAAUCACGACUUGCAUGUCGAUGAGUAUGACAACCGGCAGGAGCCAUAGGAUUUGUCUUUAUUAUUUUGUAUGACCUGCGUGUCAUUAAAUAAUGCCAUGUAAAUUACUUUACUUUAUUGCUAAAUGCGUUAGCCAUAGAAGUAGAAGUAAUCGUUGGCGUGACAACUUCAUGAAGACACAAUGAUGGAGAUCAUGGUGUCAUGCCGGUGACGAAGAUGAUCAUGGUGCCCCGAAGAUGGAGAUCAAAGGAGCAAAAUGAUAUUGGCCAUAUCAUGUCACUAUUUGAUUGCAUGUGAUGUUUAUCAUGUUUUGCAUCUUAUUUGCUUAGAACGACGGUAGUAAGUAAGAUGAUCCCUUAUAAUAAUUUCAAGAAAGUGUUCCCCCUAACUGUGCACCGUUGCGAAGGUUCGUUGUUUCGAAGCACCACGUGAUGAUCGGGUGUGAUAGAUUCUAACGUUCGCAUACAACGGGUGUUGACGAGCCUAGCAUGUACAGACAUGGCCUCAGAACACACGCAAUACACUUAGGUUGACUUGACGAGCCUAGCAUGUACAGACAUGGCCUCGGAACACGGAGGACCGAAAGGUCGAGCAUGAGUCGUAUAGAAGAUACGAUCAACAUGGAGAUGUUCACCGAUCUUGACUAGUCCGUCUCACGUGAUGAUCGGACACGACCUAGUUAACUCGGAUCAUGUUUCACUUAGAUGACUAGAGGGAUGUCAAUCUGAGUGGGAGUUCAUUAAAUAAUUUGAUUAGAUGAACUUAAUUAUCAUGAACUUAGUCUAAAAUCUUUACACUAUGUCUUGUAGAUCAAAUGGCCCACGUUGUCCUCAACUUCAACGCGUUCCUAGAGAAAACCAAGCUGAAAGAUGAUGGCAGUAACUAUACGGACUGGGUCCGGAACCUGAGGAUCAUCCUCAUAGCUGCCAAGAAAGAUUAUGUCUUAGAAGCACCGCUAGGUGAAGCACCAAUCCCAGAGAACCAAGACGUUAUGAACGCUUGGCAAUCACGUGCUGAUGAUUACUCCCUCGUUCAGUGCGGCAUGCUUUACAGCUUAGAACCGGGUCUUAAAAUGCGUUUUGAGAAACAUGGAGCAUAUGAGAUGUUCGAGGAGCUGAAAAUGGUUUUCCAAGCUCAUGCCCGGGUCGAGAGAUAUGAAGUCUCCGACAAGUUCUUCAGCUGUAAAAUGGAGGAGAAUAGUUCUGUUAGUGAGCACAUACUCAGAAUGUCUGGGUUGCACAACCGCUUGUCUCAGCUGGGAGUUAAUCUCCCGGAUGAUGCGGUCAUUGACAGAAUCCUUCAGUCGCUUCCACCAAGCUACAAGAGCUUUGUGAUGAACUUCAAUAUGCAAGGGAUGGAAAAGACCAUUCCUGAGGUAUAUUCGAUGCUGAAAUCAGCGGAGGUGGAGAUCAGAAAGGAACAUCAAGUGUUGAUGGUGAAUAAAACCACUAAGUUCAAGAAGGGCAAGGGCAAGAAGAACUUCAAGAAGGACAGCAAGGGAGUUGCCGCGCCCGGUAAGCCAGUUACCGGGAAGAAGUCAAAGAAUGGACCCAAGCCUGAGACUGAGUGCUUUUGUUGCAAGGGAAGUGGUCACUGGAAGCGGAACUGCCCCAAAUACUUAGCGGACAAGAAGGCCGGCAACACCAAAGGUAUAUGUGAUAUACGUGUAAUUGAUGUGUACCUUAUCAGUACUCGUAGUAGCUCCUGGGUAUUUGAUACCGGUGCGGUUGCUCAUAUUUGUAACUCAAAACAGGAACUGCGGAAUAAACGGAGACUGGCAAAGGACGAGGUGACGAUACGCGUCGGAAUGGUUCCAAGGUCGAUGUGAUCGCCGUCGGCACGCUACCUCUGCAUCUACCCACGGGAUUAGUUUUAAACCUCAAUAAUUGUUAUUUAGUGCCAGCUUUGAGCAUGAACAUUGUAUCUGGAUCUCGUUUAAUUCGAGAUGGCUACUCAUUUAAAUCCGAGAAUAAUGGUUGUUCUAUUUAUUUGAGAGAUAUGUUUUAUGGUCAUGCCCCGCUGGUCAAUGGUUUAUUCUUGAUGAAUCUCGAACGUAAUGUUACACAUAUUCUUAGUGUGAAUACCAAAAGAUGUAAAGUUGAUAACGAUAGUCCCACAUAUUUGUGGCACUGCCGCCUUGCUCACAUUGGUGUCAAGCGCAUGAAGAAGCUCCAUGCAGAUGGACUUUUGGAGUCUCUUGAUUACGAAUCAUUUGACACGUGCGAACCAUGCCUCAUGGGUAAGAUGACCAAGACUCCGUUCUCCGGAACAAUGGAGCGAGCAACCAACUUAUUGGAAAUCAUACAUACCGAUGUGUGCGGUCCAAUGAGUGUUGAGGCUCGCGGAGGAUAUCGUUAUGUUCUCACUCUCACUGAUGACUUAAGUAGAUAUGGGUAUGUCUACCUAAUGAAACACAAGUCUGAAACCUUUGAAAAGUUCAAGGAAUUUCAGAGUGAGGUCGAGAAUCAAUGUGACAGGAAAAUAAAAUUCUUACGAUCAGAUCGUGGUGGAGAAUAUUUAAGUCACGAGUUUGGUACACACUUAAGGAAAUGUGGAAUCGUUUCACAACUCACGCCGCCUGGAACACCUCAGCGAAACGGUGUGUCCGAACGUCGUAAUCGCACUCUAUUGGAUAUGGUGCGAUCUAUGAUGUCUCUUACCGAUUUACCGCUCUCAUUUUGGGGCUAUGCUUUAGAGACUGCCGCAUUCACUUUAAAUAGGGCUCCGUCGAAAUCCGUUGAGACGACACCGGAUGAAUUCUGGUUUGGGAAGAAACCUAAGCUGUCAUUUCUGAAAGUUUGGGGAUGCGAUGCUUAUGUCAAGAAACUUCAACCUGAAAAGCUCGAACCCAAGUCGGAGAAAUGCGUCUUCAUAGGAUACCCUAAGGAAACUAUUGGGUAUACCUUCUACCUCAGAUCCGAAGGCAAGAUCUUCGUUGCCAAGAACGGGUCCUUUCUGGAGAAAGAGUUUCUCUCGAAAGAAUUGAGUGGGAGGAAAGUGGAACUUGAUGAGGUGAUAGUCAGCCCUUCCGAACCGGAAAGUAGCGCAGCACGGGAAGAUGUUCCUGCGGUGCCUACACCGACUGGGGAGGAAGUUAAUCAUGAUGAUCAUGAAGCUUCGGAUCAAGUUACUACUGAACUUCGUAGGUCCACAAGGACACGUUCCGCACCAGAGUGGUACGGCAACGCUGUCCUCGAAAUCAUAUUGUUAGACAACGGUGAACCUUCGAACUAUGAAGAAGCGAUGGCGGGCCCGGAUUCCGACAAAUGGCUAGAAGCCAUGAAAUCCGAGAUAGGAUCCAUGUAUGAAAACGAAGUAUGGACUUUGACUGACUUGCCCGAUGAUCGGCGAGCCAUAGAAAACAAAUGGAUCUUUAAGAAGAAGACGGACGCGGAUGGUAAUGUGACCAUCUAUAAGGCUCGACUUGUCGCUAAGGGUUAUCGACAAGUUCAAGGGGUUGACUACGAUGAGACUUUCUCACCCGUAGCGAAGCUGAAGUCCGUCCGAAUCAUGUUAGCAAUUGCCGCAUACUAUGAUUAUGAGAUAUGGCAGAUGGACGUCAAAACGGCAUUCCUUAACGGCUUCCUUAAGGAAGAGUUGUAUAUGAUGCAGCCGGAAGGUUUUGUCGAUCCUAAGAAUGCUAACAAAGUAUGCAAGCUCCAGCGCUCAAUCUAUGGGCUGGUGCAAGCAUCUCGGAGUUGGAACAUUCGCUUUGAUGAGAUGAUCAAAGCGUUUGGGUUUACACAUACUUAUGGAGAAGCAUGUGUUUACAAGAAAGUGAGUGGGAGCUCUGUAGCAUUUCUCAUAUUAUAUGUGGAUGACAUACUAUUGAUGGGAAAUGAUAUAGAAUUCUUGGAAAGUAUAAAGGCCUAUUUGAAUAAGUGUUUUUCAAUGAAGGACCUUGGAGAAGCUGCUUAUAUAUUAGGCAUCAAGAUCUAUAGAGAUAGAUCAAGACGCCUCAUUAGUCUUUCACAGAGUACAUACCUUGACAAGAUAUUGAAGAAGUUCAAUAUGGAUCAGUCCAAGAAGGGGUUCUUGCCUGUAUUGCAGGGUGUGCAAUUGAGCACGGCUCAAUGCCCGACCACGGCAGAAGAUAGAGAAAAGAUGAGUGUCAUCCCCUAUGCCUCGGCCAUAGGGUCUAUUAUAUAUGCCAUGUUGUGUACCAGACCUGAUGUAAACCUUGCCGUGAGUUUGGUAGGAAGGUACCAAAGUAAUCCCGGCAUGGAACACUGGACAGCGGUCAAGAAUAUCCUAAAGUACCUGAACAGGACAAAGGAUAUGUUUCUCGUUUAUGGAGGUGACGAAGAGCUCGUCGUAAAGGGUUACGUCGACGCUAGCUUCGACACAGAUCUGGAUGACUCGAAGUCACAAACCGGAUACGUGUAUAUUUUGAAUGGAGGAGCAGUAAGCUGGUGCAGUUGCAAGCAAAGCAUCGUGGCGGGAUCUACAUGUGAAGCGGAGUACAUGGCAGCCUCAGAGGCAGCACAGGAAGCAGUCUGGAUGAAGGAGUUCAUUACCGACCUAGGGGUGAUUCCCAAUGCGUCGGGCCCGAUGACUCUCUUCUGUGACAACACUGGAGCUAUUGCCCUUGCGAAGGAGCCCAGAUUUCACAGGAAGACCAGGCAUAUCAAGCGUCGCUACAACUCCAUUCGUGAAAGUGUUCAAAAUGGAGACAGAUAUUUGUAAAGUACAUACGGACCUGAAUGUAGCAGAUCCGUUGACUAAACCUCUCCCUAGAGCAAAACAUGAUCAACACCAGGACGCAAUGGGUGUUCGAUUCAUCACUAUGUAACUAGAUUAUUGACUCUAGUGCAAGUGGGAGACUGUUGGAAAUAUGCCCUAGAGGCAAUAAUAAAUGGUUAUUAUUAUAUUUCUUUGUUCAUGGUAAUUGUCUAUUAUUCAUGCUAUAAUUGUAUUAUCCGGAAAUCGUAAUACAUGUGUGAAUACAUAGACCACAACGUGUCCCUAGUAAGCCUCUAGUUGACUAGCUCGUUGAUCAACAGAUAGUCAUGGUUUCCUGACUAUGGACAUUGGAUGUCAUUGAUAACGGGAUCACAUCAUUAGGAGAAUGAUGUGAUGGACAAGACCCAAUCCUAAGCAUAGCUCAAAGAUCGUGUAGUUCGUUUGCUAGAGCUUUUAUAAUGUCAAGUAUCUUUUCCUUAGACCAUGAGAUCGUGCAACUCCCGGAUACCGUAGGAGUACUUUGGGUGUGCCAAAUGUCACAACGUAACUGGGUGACUAUAAAGGUACACUACGGGUAUAUCCGAAAGUGUCUGUCGGGUUGGCACGGAUCGAGACUGGGAUUUGUCACUCCGUGUGACGGAGAGGUAUCUCUGGGCCCACUCGGUAAUGCAUCAUCAUAAUGAGCUCAAUGUGACUAAGGAGUUAUUCACGGGAUCAUGCAUUACGGUACGAGUAAAGAGACUUGCCGGUAACGAGAUUGAACAAGGUAUUGGGAUACCGACGAUCGAAUCUCGGGCAAGUAACAUACCGAUUGACAAAGGGAAUUGCAUACGGGAUUGAUUGAAUCCUCGACAUCGUGUUUCAUCCGAUGAGAUCAUCAUGGAACAUGUGGGAGCCAACAUGGGUAUCCAGAUCCCGCUGUUGGUUAUUGACCGGAGAGGCGUCUCGGUCAUGUCUGCAUGUCUCCCGAACCCGUAGGGUCUACACACUUAAGGUUCGGUGACGCUAGGGUUGUAGAUAUGAAUAUGCAGAAACCCGAAAGUUGUUCGGAGUCCCGGAUGAGAUCCCGGACGUCACGAGUAGUUCCGGAAUGGCCCGGAGGUGAAGAAUUAUAUAUAGGAAGUCAAGUUUCGGCCACCGGGAAAGUUUCGGGGGUUAUCGGUAUUGUACCGGGACCACCGGAAGGAUCCCGGGGGUCCACCGGGUGGGGCCACCUAUCCCGGAGGGCCCCAUGGGCUGAAGUGGGAAGGGAACCAGCCCUUAGUGGGCUGGGGCGCCCCCCAUGGGCCUCCCCCCUGCGCCUAGGGUUGGAAACCCUAGGGUGGGGGGGCGCCCCACUUGCCUUGGGGGGCAAGUCUCCCCCCUGGCCGCCCCCCCCAUGGAGAUGGGUUCCUGGCCGGCGCCCCCCUCCCAGGGGGCCUAUAUAAAGGGGGGGAGGGAGGGCAGUAGUAUUACAGCCUUGGGCGCCUCCCUCCUCCCCUGCUACACCUCUCCCUCUCGCAGAAGCUCGGCGAAGCCCUGCCGAGAUCCCGCUACAUCCACCACCACGCUGUCGUGCUGCUGGAUCUCCAUCAACCUCUCCUUCCCCCUUGCUGGAUCAAGGAGGAGACGUCGCUGCACCGUACGUGUGUUGAACUCGGAGGUGCCGUCCGUUCGGCACUCGGUCAUCGGUGAUUUGGAUCACGGCGAGUACGACUCCAUCAACCACGUUCAUUGGAACGCUUCCGCUCGCGAUCUACAAGGGUAUGUAGAUGCACUCCUUUCCCCUCGUUGCCAGUAUACUCCAUAGAUGGAUCUUGGUGAGCGUAGGAAAAUUUUAAAAUUCUGCUACGAUCCCCAACAUUUCCAACCUUGAGUUCCAGCACCCAGGUUCCAACUUAAUUGCUCCGAGCCUCUCAGUCAUGUCCGGACCCAGCCCUCAAGGCCGGUGGGUGGCCUCUUCUAUCACAGAGGAGGAUAUUGCGAAGCUCUGGGCCGCAAGAUACCUGACCGCGGAAAUCCUCCACAGGCUCCCUGCUAAAGGGCAGGUUAUUCCUACUGCCAGAUCCGGCGAGAGGGUCGUAUUCAUCUCCCACUUCCUCCGGGGGCUAGGGUUCGCUCUCCAUCCCUUCGUUCGCGGACUCAUGUUCGAUCUAGCUCCAGACUCCUUUCUUCACAUCUCGACGUUCAUCGGAAUGUGUGAGGCCUUCCUCCGUAUUCCCCCACACUUCGGCUUAUGGCUCAAGACCUUUAAUGUUAAGCCGAAGGUAAUCGAGGGGAAGCAAGCGGAGUGUGGUGGCGCUACGGUGGGCAAACUUACCAAUACUCUUUGGCCAAAAGGCUCUUUCAUGGAAUCCUCCAACUUUUGGCAGCGGGAGUGGUUUUACAUCACUGAACCCCGUGGUACCAAGUGGGCCGCUACACCUGCAUUCCGAUCUGGCCCUCCAGUACAGCUUGCAUCAUGGAUCAAUAAGGGGUUGGACUGGGGAUCAAUUGAUGAAGUGCAGACUCUACAAAGCCGCAUCCGGAGUCUCCUUGAGAAGGACACCGGUCUCAUCAAUGUAAUCCAGGUAAUACUAGUCCGUCGGGUCCUGCCGUGCCAGCGACGGCCCCUCCGCAUGUGGGAGUUCAAUCCGGAAGGACCACGAACCCUUCAGCAUUUCUUCGGCAUGACGCACAGAGGAAUGUGCAAGCUAUUUUUCGGGACGCAAAAACAGUGGCCGAAUACCACCGAGGACAUCAGCCUCGACUGCAACCAUCCGGAUACCUUGGUAAGCACUUGACUCCCGAACACAGUUUAGUUAAAUAUCCCGUAAUAAGAUACUGAGAAAACCAUCUUCGACCAAGGCUGGAUAAAGAAGGCAGAACGAAUUAGGUGUUCGGCCCCUCUUCCCUAAGACUCGGCUGAUCCUGUGUUAAGAAGGAUGCUGGCUCCGGCACCAUAUCAAGUGCCAGCGAAGGAGGACUAGGAGGAGAGCAAGUAGGCCAAAGGUGGCCUCCAUUCUGAAGGUACACCAGACACUAUGUCUGGGGGGAUUGGGACUCCCUCUUCCGAAGACAAAGAGAAGGAGAAGCUGACAUCCCUUCUCCCCAUGGUAAGAAAAGGAGCGCCUCCGAAGAUUUGGAGGUAAAGACCCCCAAGCGAGGGAAGAUGUCCCUUUCAGGCGGUUCGGGUUCGGAAGACGACGUUGUCGCGCAGUUCCUCCGUAAGGACAAGCCUUUAGUCGAAACGUAAGUGAACAAGGGUGUCCUAAACAUAUAUCGUUCCUUUCAGGUUACAAGGGUAACAUCUAAUAUAUAUGUUAGCAGUCCGGCGCGCAGUCUUCCUCAACAGUCCUCCUCCUCGGGGGAUCUGCUUCCGGAGAUGAUGGAAAGCCAGACGCCUCCACAGGCCUCCUCGGACAAUAGGGCGGACGACUUCGAGGUGUCGUCCCGGAGGAUCUCUCCCGAUCAACAAGUGGUGCAGGGGACAAUGAAUACAACGCCCGAAGGUGAAACUUCGGUCGCCCAGGGUCUGGGGUGUGCGGCCCCUACGGGGACCAACAAUAAAGGCCCCGGACUAUCCAGUUUACAGCCGGAGACAACUCUAGGGUCGAGUAAACAUAUCCCUUCAAAGGGAGUCCAUACUCCCGCAGCCGCUUCCAGGAAUCCGAAGGCGCCGGACACUUUGAUGGACAUGUUGCAAAAUGCAUCCGUCUCAGAGGAACAUCAUACCUUGAUGGGUACGGUAGUUGAGAGGAUUCUGUCCGCAAGAAGCGGAUUAAAUGAAGCUUUCACGGGCCUGCUAAGAGGCUUCGAGGUAUGCAAUGAAAUAUCUUCAAUUGCACUCUACGUGCAAAAUGCACCUGUGUAUAGAUAGGAGCCCCUGAGAUCUGGUUGGCGUCCAAAGGGAGGCAAUCAUAGGAUCCAAAUAGAUAUGCCCAGGAAAUAAUCUAAUUAAUUGGAACACAGGCUGUUAGAUCCAUGGCGACUGCCCACACUACAGAGGUUGCAGGUCUGAAGCAGAAACUUGAUGUAGCGGAUGACAACAUGACGCUUAUUAACAGGCGGCUCAAUGAGGCGCAAGGUACGUUUUGGGGCGGUCAUUAUAUGUCUGUAUAAGAACAUGAGCACGAAGCUGAGAAUUAUAUACUGAGACAUGCAUAACUUCAGAUAGUGCUUCCGUGGUUUGAGACCCUUUGGGCUGAACUUGCCCGAGCCAAGGAGCAAGCCAGGAUGAGUAAUGUGGCUGCCAAGAAGGCAGCUGAUGAGUUAAAGGCCGAAGAGGCUGCUCAGCGCCAGUGCGAGGAGAGAAUGUCUACCAUGGCGCGCGAGCUAAAGGAAGCCACUGUCCGGUGCGAAUUCCUCGAGAAGGAUAACAAAGCCAAAACAGUCGAUCUCGACAAGGCCUUACAAGAGGCGAGAGAAGCACGAUCCGAGUCUAGAGCGGCUCGGGAGGAGAUCAGGCAAGCUGGAGAGAUAGCGGCCGGUAAGCCUUUCUUAUUAUAGACUAAAUUUGGCGAUCUGAAGUAUGCCCCGCUUAAUCAAAUGUGGAGUUCUCCAGACGCAUUCUUGGACCUGCCGAGGAGUGUUUCCGAUGCGACGCAGUUCUUCCAAGCGCAAGAAGGACAUGCAAGGAGGAGCUUUUCUGGUCGCAGUUCAGCAUGCCAAAGCAUCCGCUGUUGCUGAACAAACAGAUGGCCCAGUGGGCCGAGCUCCACAGGAUAUCUGGAUCUUCCAUGAAGGACGUCGUGGUCCGGCUGUGGCCGACCGAGCCAAUUCUGAAUAGUUAUUUCGGUUUGGUACAGCGACUUGUUGACGCGGUGCCGCGUAUUGUCCAGGCUUGUCCUUUGCUACAAAAAGGAUUGGGCCACCUUGCUGCACUUUAUUUACUUUUGGUACUUGUUGCUCGUUAUAAAUUAUCUUAUCACAAAACUAUCUGUUACCUAUAAUUUCAGUGCUUGCAGAGAAUACCUUGCUGAAAACUGCUUAUCAUUUCCUUCUACUCCUCGUUGGGUUCGACACUCUUACUUAUCGAAAGGACUACGAUAGAUCCCCUAUACUUGUGGGUCAUCACGUAUCGACGCUGUUAAGCGGUCAACGUGCAUUGAAGGUGCACGGAUGGCCUUUGCCCGCGUCAAGACGUACUGGGCGAAGAUGAAGGCCACCGACAUUGCAGCAAAGAGUCAACCCGGGGGCAAGGACCAUCACACGCCGGAGCAUUAUUUUGAGGAUGUCCUAGAAGGCGCCCGCCUUAUAGAGGAUCAGUGCUCGAAGCAUAUGAUAUUCGAGUGAAUGUACCGAAAUUGUAAAAACAAUAUUAUGAUAUUUUAAGGCUAUGUUUUUUAUACUUUUGCCUGAAAGUUUUGGUUCCUCCUGUGCGGCCGUUUUUUGUAAAUCUGAAAGUUUACCAGUCGUCGGCUUCGGCCCCCUCGCAUAUAAUACGGGGGUGUUCGGAAAAGCACUUGAUCACUCUUGACCCAACGUCUUGGUCCGUGAAGGAGGUGUCAAUGUGGCGAACUAGGCAAUCGGACUAUAGGGCUUUAACACUUUCACUUAGCCAUAGGAGUUUGAUGGUGGGUCUAUGAUAUAGCCCCUGGUAUGUACGCGGUUAUCCGAAUAUGGUGCGUUACAUAGGUGACUAGAAGAACGGUCCUUCGUGUAAUACGGAAGGAAUCGCGAAAGAUUCUGAUAAGUCAUCGAGUGGUUGACCAGCUCUCGCCGCAUCAUGACAGUUAGCUUUCGGCUUUCUCUACUGAGGUGCUUGACCAGAUGAACCGGAAACACAAUCACAGUAGUUCUCCCUUUACUACCCUAGCCGAUAGGAUAGAACGUAAGGUAGUAAGCACAGGAGUCGGGCAACCCAACUAUUGACCAAAGAUAUGAUUUGGAGCUGAUGCAUAUAAGGCCAAACUCGUGACGCCAAAGAAUGCUAUAAAGCUGUUCGGACUUGUCGGCAAUUCAUAUGUUGCCAUAUCGAGCCCCUGGCAAUUUUUAUCGAGGUGCGUGCGUGAAACAAUCGAAGAAGCAAAAUUCAGUUCUUAGAAAGAGCCAACACUGAAUAUGGAUUAUGUUCACUGGAAUCUGAUUGACCCGUCGAACGCAAUCUUACAGAUUAUAACGCCACUACCCGGGCUAUUUGACAUGCCUGGGGUCGAAGGCUGAGGGAAAAGGCACUUUACAGGCUCAAAAUAAAGAGUGCGGUCUACAAAAAAAAUUUGGACCUCCUGUCGCACGUCUGCGCCGCCUUGCCUCGGCGAAAGGACUCCUUAACAGGAAUAGCCUUUGGAUAAGUAUACAAAGCCGAACUCCGAAAGAGUCCGUAAGAUGACCAGCCUUUGAGUCACCUGUGGUAAAAGAUAAAAAAUAGUUAGAAAAGGAAAAAAGGCUAUGGGAUUGGGGACCGCGUUGUAGUAUUGUCCGUAUUGUGCCUCCGCCGAUGACCAGGGCAUUUUAAGUGCAUAAUUAUGUAUGAGCGGUACAAAGUUCACGACUGUAUGAGGCGAACGACGGAGGCCGAACUGCUAAUCCAGCUGUGAGAUCGAUAAGUCCUAUUUAAGAGGGACCGGUGGCUUGAUGGCUGAUGAGAUAUGCGGCUUGAUGAGACCGCUUCGUGCUUCGGCUGCAGUAGCCGUAGUAUGCUCCUCUGUACGGAGGGAGCGUUCUGAAUUUCCGUUUAUCGUGAUGAUGCCGCGUGGACCGGGCAUCUUAAGCUUUAGAUAGGCGUAAUGUGGGACCGCAUUGAAACGAGCAAAAGCGGUAUGCCCGAGUAGUGCCUGGUAGCUACUGCGGAACGGGACAAUAUCGAAGGUCAAGCCUUCGCUUCAAAAGUUGUUCGGCGAACCAAAAACGACUUCCAAUGUAAUUAAGCCCGUGCAAUGAGCUUCUAUGCCGGGUACUGCUCCCUUGAAGGUAUUUGUGGUGGGCUUGAUUCUUGAAGGAUCAAUGCCCAUUUUGCGGACAGUGUCUUGGUAAAGUAGAUUAAGGCUACUGCCGCCGUCCAGAAGGACUUCCGUGAGAUGGAAUCCAUUGAUAAUUGGGUCGAUGAUCAGAGCUGCCGAACCUUCGUGACGGAUAUGGCUAAACUUUGGGGUGACCGGCUCUAUGGCGUAUGCGUCCCGUAGUGCGCGCCUGCGCUCCCCUGUAGGGGUGUGUGUUACGUAUACCAUAUUUACGGUUUUCACUUCGGGGGGAAAUUGCUUCUGACCCCCGGUGUUCGGCUGGCGAGCCUCUUAGUCAUCGCUGUCACUGGGCGGCCCCUUCCCUUGUGUUCGGCAUUAAGCUUGCCGGCUUGUUUGAAGACCCAACAGCUUCUAUUGGUGUGAGUAGCUGGUUUAUUGGGGGUGCCAUGAAUCUAGUAGGGCCGAUCCAGUAUCUUGUCCAAAUUGGAUGGUCCAUCUCUGUUUGCCUUGAAUGGCUUUUUCGGUUGACCGGGUUUGGAGCCGCUGAAUCCGGCAUUGAUCGCCGUGUCUUGCGUUCCUUCAUUAUUAUUUCGACGCUUGUUUUUGUUGCGUCGUGGCUUGCCGUUGCCGUCUCGAACUUUGGAAGUGCCCGGAUCACAGGUGUUGUUGCUUCGACAAGCGAGCCAGCUGUCUUCUCCCACGCAAAAGCGGGUCAUCAGAGCGAUAAGGGCUGCCAUAGAUUUUGGUUUUUCUUGACCAAGGUGGCGGGCGAGCCACUCAUCCCGGACGCUAUGUUUGAAGGCCGCGAGGGCUUCGGCGUCCGGACAAUCGACAAUUUGGUUCUUUUUAGUUAAGAACCUAGUCCAGAGCUUCCUGGCUGACUCUCCGGGCUGCUGGAUGAUGUGACUUAAGUCAUCGGCGUCUGGUGGCCGUACAUAUGUACCUUGGAAGUUAUCGCGGAAGGCGUCUUCCAAGUCCUCCCAGCUGCCAAUGGAGUUCUCUGGAAGGCUGUUUAGCCAGUGCCGCGCUGGUCCCUUUGGUUUUAGAGGGAGGUAUUUGAUGGCAUGGAGAUCAUCACCGCGGGCCAUGUGGAUAUGGAGAAGAAAAUCUUCAACCCAUAUUACGGGAUCUGUUGUUCCAUCGUAUGAUUCGAUAUUCAUGGGUUUAAACCCUUCUGGAAAUUCGUGCCCCAUUACCUCAUUGGUGAAGAAUAAGGGGUGAGCGGCGCCUCUGUAACGGGCGGUGUCUCGACAGAGUUCGGCGGACGUCCUAAACGGUUUUCACCCCGAGGGAGGUUGUGUUGGUCGCGUCGGGAAUGAUAGCUAUCCUCUUGUGUUGGGGCACAUCCCUUUGACCCGUAAAUUGUUCUGGCCAGGCCUGCCCUGGCGUCCAGGCCCCGCCGUAGGUCAUAGGUGUAAUCCUGGGCCGCUGUCUCCCUUCCCUUACGGCGGGGUAAUGUGGGCUGGUGGUUGGCAUGUGUAGCCGUUUUGCUGCAGCCAUGGGGUGGCCGGUCUGUUUUAUCAGCUGUAUUAUGCGCUGGUGCUAUCGGCUCGCACGCCUCGAUGUCAGAUUGGGGUAGCAGUUUGCGCUUCGGAUAUCUUUUUAUGGGGCGCUCAAGGCCGUACUCCUCAUCUGCUAGGACCUGUGUCCACCUGUCGUUGAGUGUAUCCUGUUCGGCUUGAAGCCGUUGCUGCUUCCUUUUCAGGCUCCUCGCGGUUGCGAUGAGGUGUUGCUUAAAGCGUUCUUGCUCGAGGGGUUCUUCUGGCACGAUCAUGUUGGGGAUCGUAGCAGAAAUUAAAAUUUUAUACGCAUCACCAAGAUCAAUCUAUGGAGUUUACUAGCAACGAGAGGGGAGGAGUGCAUCUACAUACCCUUGUAGAUCGCGAGCGGAAGCGUUCAAGAGAAUGGGGUUGAUGGAGUCGUACUCGUCGUGAUCCAAACCACCGAUGAUCCAAGCGCCGAACGGACGGCACCUCCGCGUUCAACACACGUACGGAGCGGUGACGUCUCCCAUGCCUUGAUCCAGCAAGGAGGAGGGAGAGGUUGAGGAAGAAGGCUUCAACAGCAGCACGACGGCGUGGUGGUGGUGGAGUGACAGUUCUCCGGCAGGGCUUCGCCAAGCACACGCGGAGGAGGAGAGGUGUUGGGGAGGGGAGGGGCUGCGCCUUUGAUGUGGUGCUACAGCCCUCCCCUCACCCCUCCAUUUAUAGGGAGAAGGGGGAAGGGGGCCGGCCCCUCUAGAUGAGAUCUAGAGGGGGGGCGGCGGCCAAGGGGGGAGGGAGCUUGCCCCCGAAGCAAGGGGGGCGCCCCCCCUUUAGGGUUCCCCCCAAACCCUAGGCGCAUGGGCCCUAGGGGGGUUGGCGCCCAGCCCACUAAGGGCUGGUUCCCUUCCACCUACAGCCCAUAAGGCCCUCCGGGGCAGGUGGACCCUCCCGGUGGACCCCCCGGAACCCCUCCGGUGGUCCCGGUACAAUACCGGUAUACCCCCGAAUAUUUCUGGUGACCGUAUGGUGACUUCCCAUAUAUAAAUCUUUACCUCCGGACCAUUAUAGAACUCCUCGUGAAGUCCGGGAUCUCAUCCGGGACUCUGAACAACAUUCGGUAAUCACAUACAAACCUUCCUUAUAACCCUAGCGUCAUCGAACCUUAAGUGUGUAGACCCUACGGGUUCGGGAAUCAUGCAGACAUGACCGAGACACCUCUCUAGCCAAUAACCAACAGCGGGAUCUGGAUACCCAUGUUGGCUCCCACAUGUUCCACGAUGAUCUCAUCGGAUGAACCACGAUGUCGAGGAUUCAAGCAAUCCCGUAUACAAUUCCCUUUGUUAAUCGGUACUUUACUUGCCCGAGAUUCGAUCGUCGGUAUCCCAAUACCUCGUUCAAUCUCGUUACCGGCAAGUCACUUUACUCGUUCCGUAAUGCAUGAUUCCGUGACUAACUACUUAGUCACAUUGAGCUCAUUAUGAUGAUGCAAUACCGAGUGGGCCCAGAGAUACCUCUCCGUCAUACAGAGUGACAAAUCCCAGUCUCGAUCCGGGCCAACCCAACAGACACUUUCGGAGAUACCUGUAGUGCACCUUUAUAGCCACCCAGUUACGUUGUGACGUUUGGUACACCCAAAGCAUUCCUACGGUAUCCGGGAGUUGCACGAUCUCAUGGUCUAAGGAAAUGAUACUUGACAUUAGAAAAGCUUUAGCAAACGAACUACAUGAUCUAGUGCUAUGCUUAGGAUUGGCUCUUGUCCAUCACAUCAUUCUCCUAAUGAUGUGAUCUCGUUAUCAAUGACAUCCAAUGUCAAUGGUCAGGAAACCGUAACCAUCUAUUGACCAACGAGCUAGUCAACUAGAGGCUCACUAGGGACAUGUUAUCGUCUAUGUAUUCACACAUGUAUUACGAUUUGCGGAUAACACAAUUAAAGCAUGAACAAUAGACAAUUAUCAUGAACAAGGAAAUAUAAUAAUAACCAUUUUAUUAUUGCCUCUAGGGCAUAUUUCCAACAGUCUCCCACUUGCACUAGAGUCAAUAAUCUAGUUACAUUGUGAUGAAUCGUACACCCAUAGAGUUCUGGUGUUGAUCAUGUUUUGCCCGUGGAAGAGGUUUAGUCAACGGAUCUGCGACAUUCAAAUCCGUAUGUACUUUACAAAUAUCUAUGUCUCCAUUUUGAACAUUUUCACGAAUGGAGUUGAAGCGACGCUUGAUGUGCCUGGUCUUCUUGUGAAACCUGGGCUCCUUGGCAAGGGCAAUAGCUCCAGUGUUGUCACAGAAGAGAGUCAUCGGCCCCGAUGCAUUGGGAAUAACUCCUAGGUCGGCAAUGAACUCCUUCGUCCAGAUUGCUUCAUGUGCUGCCUCCGAGGCUGCCAUGUACUCCGCUUCACAUGUAGAUCCCGCCACGACGCUUUGCUUGCAACUGCACCAGCUGACUGCCCCACCAUUCAAAAUAUACACGUAUCCGGUUUGUGACUUGGAGUCAUCUAGAUCUGUGUCGAAGCUAGCAUCGACGUAACCCUUUACGACGAGCUCUUCGUCACCUCCAUAAACGAGAAACAUAUCCUUAGUCCUUUUCAGGUACUUCAGGAUGUUCUUGACCGCUGUCCAGUGUUCCAUGCCAGGAUUACUUUGGUACCUUCCUACCAAACUUACGGCAAGGUUUACAUCAGGUCUGGUACACAGCAUGGCAUACAUAAUAGACCCUAUGGCCGAGGCAUAGGGGACGACACUCAUCUUUUCUCUAUCUUCUGCCGUGGUCGGGCAUUGAGCCGUGCUCAAUCUCACACCUUGCAAUACAGGCAAGAACCCCUUCUUGGACUGAUCCAUAUUGAACUUCUUCAAUAUCUUGUCAAGGUAUGUGCUUUGUGAAAGACCUAUGAGGCGUCUCGAUCUAUCUCUAUAGAUUUUGAUGCCUAAUAUGUAAGCAGCUUCUCCAAGGUCCUUCAUUGAAAAACACUUAUUCAAGUAGGUCUUUAUACUUUCCAAGAAUUCUAUAUCAUUUCCCACCAAUAGUAUGUCAUCCACAUAUAAUAAGAGAAAUGCUACAGAGCUCCCACUCACUUUCUUGUAAACACAGGCUUCUCCAUAAGUCUGCGUAAACCCAAACGCUUUGAUCAUCUCAUCAAAGCGAAUGUUCCAACUCCGAGAUGCCUGCACCAGCCCAUAGAUUGAGCGCUGGAGCUUGCAUACUUUGUCAGCAUUCUUAGGAUCGACAAAACCUUCCAGCUGCAUCAUAUACAAUUCUUCCUUAAGGAAGCCGUUAAGGAAUGCCGUUUUGAAGUCCAUUUGCCAUAUUUCAUAAUCGUAGAAUGCAGCAAUUGCUAACAUGAUUCGGAUGGACUUCAGCUUCGCUACGGGUGAGAGGGUCUCAUCGUAGUCAACUCCUUGAACUUGUCGAUAACCCUUAGCGACAAGUCGAGCUUUAUAGAUGGUAACAUUUCCAUCCGCGUCCGUCUUCUUAAAGAUCCAUUUAUUUUCUAUCGCUCGCCGAUCAUCGGGCAAGUCUGUCAAAGUCCAUAAUUUGUUUUCAUACAUGGAUCCUAUCUCGGAUUGCAUGGCUUCAAGCCAUUUGUUGGAAUCGGGACCCGCCAUUGCUUCUUCGUAGUUCGAAGGUUCACCGUUGUCCAACAACAUGAUUUCCAGGACAGGGUUGCCGUACCACUCCGGUGCGGAACGUGUCCUUGUGGACCUACGAAGUUCAGUGGUAACUUGAUCAUGAUCGUCAUCAUUAACUUCCUCUCUAGUCGGUGCAGGCACCACAGAAACAUUUUCUUGUGCUGCGCUACUUUCUGGUUCGAGAGGGGUCAUCUCAUCAAGUUCCACUUUCCUCCCUCUUACUUCUUUCGAGAGAAACUGUUUCUCCAGAAAGGACCGGUUCUUGGCAACAAAGAUCUUGCCUUCGGAUCUGAGGUAGAAGGUAUACCCAAUGGUUUCCUUAGGGUAUCCUAUGAAGACGCAUUUUUCCGACUUGGGUUCGAGCUUUUCAGGUUGAAGUUUCUUGACAUAAGCAUCGCAUCCCCAAACUUUAAGAAACGACAGCUUAGGUUUAUUUCCAAACCAUAAUUCAUACGGUGUCGUCUCAACGGAUUUCGACGGAGCCCUAUUUAAAGUGAAUGCGACAGUCUCUAAAGCAUAACCCCAGAAUGAUAGCGGUAGAUCGGUAAGAGACAUCAUAGAUCGCACCAUAUCCAUUAGAGUGCGAUUACGACGUUCGGACACACCAUUACGCUGAGGUGUUCCAGGCGGCGUGAGUUGUGAAACAAUUCCACAUUUCCUUAAGUGUGUGCCAAAUUCGUGACUCAAAUAUUCCCCUCCACGAUCUGAUCGUAAGAACUUUAUUUUCCUGUCAUGGUGAUUCUCAACCUCACUCUGAAAUUCCUUGAACUUUUCAAAGGUCUCAGACUUGUGUUUCAUUAAGUAGACAUACCCAUAUCUACUCAAGUCAUCAGUGAGGGUGAGAACAUAACGAUAGCCACCCCGAGCCUCAACGCUCAUUGGACCGCACACAUCAGUAUGUAUGAUUUCCAAUAAGUUGGUUGCUCGCUCCACUGUUCCGGAGAACGGAGUCUUGGUCAUUUUGCCCAUGAGGCAUGGUUCGGAUGUGUCAAAUGAUUCAUAAUCAAGAGACUCCAAAAGUCCAUCUGCAUGGAGUUUCUUCAUGCGUUUGACACCAAUGUGACCAAGGCGGCAGUGCCACAAGUAUGUGGGACUAUCAUUAUCAACCUUACAUUUCUUGGCAUUCACACUAUGAAUAUGUGUAACAUCACGUUCGAGAUUCAUUAAGAAUAAACCAUUGACCAGCGGGGCAUGACCAUAAAACAUAUCUCUCAUAUAAAUAGAACAACCAUUAUUCUCGGAUUUAAAUGAGUAGCCAUCUCGCAUUAAACGAGAUCCAGAUACAAUGUUCAUGCUCAAAGCUGGCACUAAAUAACAAUUAUUGAGGUUUAAAACUAGUCCCGUAGGUAAAUGUAGAGGUAGCGUGCCAACGGAGAUCACAUCGACCUUGGAACCAUUCCCGACGCGCAUCGUCACCUCGUCCUUCGCCAGUCUCCGCUUAUUCCGCAGCUAAUGCUUUGAGUUACAAAUAUGAGCAACCGCACCGGUAUCAAAUACCCAGGAGCUACUACGAGCGCUGGUUAGGUAUACAUCUAUAACAUGUAUAUCACAUAUACCUUUGGUAUUGCCGGCCUUCUUAUCCGCUAAGUACUUGGGGCAGUUCCGCUUCCAGUGACCGUUUCCCUUGCAAUAAAAGCACUCAGUCUCAGGCUUGGGUCCAUUCUUUGUCUUCUUCCCGGCAACUUGCUUACCGGGCGCGGCAACUCCCUUGCCGUCUUUCUUGAAGUUCUUCUUACCCUUGCCUUUCUUGAACUUAGUGGUUUUAUUCACCAUCAACACUUGAUGUUCCUUUUUGAUCUCCACCUCCGCUGAUUUCAGCAUUGAAUAUACCUCAGGAAUGGUCUUUUCCAUCCCCUGCAUAUUGAAGUUCAUCACAAAGCUCUUGUAGCUAGGUGGGAGCGACUGAAGGAUUCUGUCAACGACCGCGUCAUCCGGGAGAUUAACUCCCAGCUGAGACAAGCGGUUGUGCAACCCAGACAUUUUGAGUAUGUGUUCACUGACGGAACUAUUCUCCUCCAUCUUACAACUGUAGAACUUGUCGGAGACUUCAUAUCUCUCGACCCGGGCAUGAGCUUGGAAAACCAUUUUCAGCUCUUGGAACAUCUCAUAUGCUCCGUGCUGCUCAAAACGCUUUUGGAGCCCCGGUUCUAAGCUGUAAAGCAUGCUGCACUGAACCAGGGAGUAAUCAUCACUACGUGACUGCCAGGCGUUCAGAACGUCUUGAGUUGCUGGGAAAACAGGUGCAUCACCUAGCGGUGUUUCAAGGACAUAUGCUUUCUUGGCAGCUAUGAGGAUAAUCCUUAGGUUACGGACCCAGUCCGUGUAGUUGCUACCAUCGUCUUUCAGCUUGGUUUUCUCUAGGAACGCGUUGAAGUUGAGGGCAACAUUAGCGUGGCCCAUUUGAUCUACAAGACAUAUUGUAAAGGGUUUUUAGACUAAGUUCAUGAUAAUUAAGUUCAUCUAAUCAAAUUAUUAACGAACUCCCACUCAGACAGACAACCCUCUAGUCAUCUAAGUGAUACAUGAUCCGAGUCAACUAGGCCAUGUCCGAUCAUCACGUGAGACGGACUAGUCAUCAUCGGUGAACAUCUUCAUGUUGAUCGUAUCUGCUAUACGACUCAUGUUCGACCUUUCGGUCUCUUGUGUUCCGAGGCCAUGUCUGUACAUGCUAGGCUCGUCAAGUCAACCUAAGUGUAUUGCGUGUGUAAAUCUGGCUUACACCCGUUGUAUACGAACGUUAGAACCUAUCACACCCGAUCAUCACGUGGUGCUUCGGAACAACGAACUUUCGCAACGGUGCACAGUUAGGGGGAACACUUUCUUGAAAUUUUAGCGAGGGAUCAUAUUAUUUAUGCUACCGUCGUUCUAAGCAAAUAAGAUGUAAAACAUGAUAAACAUCACAUGCAAUCAAAUAGUGACAUGAUAUGGCCAAUAUCAUUUUGCUCCUUUUGAUCUCCAUCUUCGGGGCGCCAUGUUCAUCAUCGUCACCGGCAUGACACCAUGAUCUCCAUCAUCAUGAUCUCCAUCAUCGUGUCUUCAUGAAGUUGUCUCGCCAACUAUUACUUCUACUACUAUGGCUAACGGUUAGCAAUAACGUAAAGUAAUUACAUGACGUUCCAGUUGACACGCAGGUCAUAAAUAAAUUAAGACAACUCCUAUGGCUCCUGCCGGUUGUCAUACUCAUCGACGUGCAAGUCGUGAUUCCUAUUACAAGAACAUGAUCAAUCUCAUACAUCACAUAUAUCAUUCAUCACAUCCUUCUGGCCAUAUCACAUCACAUGACACUUGCUGCAAAAACAAGUUAGACGUCCUCUAAUUGUUGUUGCAAACUUUUACGUGGCUGCUAUAGGUUUCUAGCAAGAACGAUUCUUACCUACGCCAAAACCACAACGUGAUAUGCCAAUUUCUAUUUACCCUUCAUAAGGACCCUUUUCAUCGAAUCCGAUCCGACUAAAGUGGGAGAGACAGACACCCGCUAGCCACCUUAUGCAACUAGUGCAUGUCAGUCGGUGGAACCUGUCUCACGUAAGCGUACGUGUAAGGUCGGUCCGGGCCGCUUCAUCCCACGAUGCCGCCGAAUCUAGAUAAGACUAGUAACGGCAAGUAAAUUGACAAAAUCGACGCCCACAACAACUUGUGUUCUACUCGUGCAUAGAAACUACGCAUAGACCUAGCUCAUGAUGCCACUGUUGGGGAUCGUAGCAGAAAUUAAAAUUUUCUACGCAUCACCAAGAUCAAUCUAUGGAGUUUACUAGCAACGAGAGGGGAGGAGUGCAUCUACAUACCCUUGUAGAUCGCGAGCGGAAGCGUUCAAGAGAACGGGGUUGAUGGAGUCAUACUCGUCGUGAUCCAAACCACCGAUGAUCCAAGCGCCGAACGGACGGCACCUCCGCGUUCAACACACGUACGGAGAGGUGACGUCUCCCACGCCUUGAUCCAGCAAGGUGGAGGGAGAGGUUGAGGAAGAAGGCUCCAACAGCAGCACGACGGCGUGGUGGUGGUGGAGUGACAGUUCUCCAGCAGGGCUUCGCCAAGCACACGUGGAGGAGGAGAGGUGUUGGGGAGGGGAGGGGCUGUGCCUUUGAUGUGGUGCUGCAGCCCUCCCCUCACCCCUCUAUUUAUAGGGAGAAGGGGGAAGGGGCAGGCCCCUCUAGAUGAGAUCUAGAGGGGGGCGGCGGCCAAGGGGGGAGGGAGCUUGCCCCCCAAGCAAGGGGGGCGCCCCCCCUUUAGGGUUCCCCCCAAACCCUAGGCGCAUGGGCCCUAGGGGGGUUGGCGCCCAGCCCACUAAGGGCUGGUUCCCUUCCACCUACAGCCCAUAAGGCCCUCCGGGGCAGGUGGACCCUCCCGGUGGACUCCCGGAACCCCUCCGGUGGUCCUGGUACAAUACCGGUAUACCCCCGAAUAUUUUCGGUGACCGUAUGGUGACUUCCCAUAUAUAAAUCUUUACCUCCGGACCAUUCCGGAACUCCUCGUCAUUCUCCUAAUGAGGUGAUCUCGUUAAUCAAAUGACAACUUAUGUCUAUUGCUAGGAAACAUAACCAUCUUUGAUUAACGAGCUAGUCAAGUAGAGGCAUACUAGUGACACUCUGUUUGUCUAUGUAUUCACACAUGUAUUAUGUUUCCGGUUAAUACAAUUCUAGCAUGAAUAAUAAACAUUUAUCAUGAUAUAAGGAAAUAAAUAAUAACUUUAUUAUUGCCUCUAGGGCAUAUUUACUUCAGUCUCCCACUUGCACUAGAGUCAAUAAUCUAGUUCACAUCGCCAUGUGAUUUAACAUGAAUAGUUCACAUCACCAUGUGAUUAACACCCAUGGUUCACAUCGUCAUGUGACCAUCACCCAAAGGGUUUACUAGAGUCAGUAAUCUAGUUCACAUCGCUAUGUGAUUAACACCCAAAGAGUAGUAAGGUGUGAUCAUGUUUUGCUUGUGAGAUAAUUUUAGUCAACGGGUCUGUCACAUUCAGAUCCGUAAGUAUUUUGCAAAUUUCUAUGUCUACAAUGCUCUGCAUGGAGCUACUCUAGCUAAUUGCUCCCACUUUCAAUAUGUAUCUAGACCGAGACUUAGAGUCAUCUAGAUUAGUGUCAAAACUUGCAUCGACGUAACCUUUUACGACGAGCCUUUUGUCACUUCCAUAAUCGAGAAACAUAUCCUUAUUCCAGCAAGGAUAAUUUUGACCACUGUCCAGUGAUCUACUCCUAGAUCACUAUUGUACUCCCUUGCCAAAAUCAGUGUAGGGUAUACAAUAGAUCUGGUACACAGCAUGGCAUACUUUAUAGAACCUAUGGCCAAGGCAUAGGGAAUGACUUUCAUUCUCUUUCUAUCUUUUGCCGUGGUCGGGCUUUGAGUCUUUACUCAAUUUCACACCUUGUAACACAGGCAAGAACUCUUUUCUUUGACUGUUCUAUUUUGAACUACUUCAAAAUCUUGUUAAGGUAUGUACUCAUUGAAAAACUUAUCAAGCGUCUUCAUCUAUCUCUAUAGAUCUUGAUGCUCAAUAUGUAAGCAGCUUCACCGAGGUCUAUCUUUGAAAAACUCCUUUCAAACACUCCUUUAUGCUUUGCAGAAUAAUUCUACAUUAUUUCCGAUCAACAAUAUGUCAUUCACAUAUACUUAUCAGAAAUGCUGUAGUGCUCCCACUCACUUUCUUGUAAAUACAGGCUUCACCGCAAGUCUGUAUACAACUAUAUGCUUUGAUCAACUUAUCAAAGCGUAUAUUCCAACUCCGAGAUGCUUGCACCAGUCCAUUGAUGGAUCGCUGGAGCUUGCAUAUUUUGUUAGCACCUUUAGGAUUGACAAAACCUUCUGGUUGUAUCAUAUACAACUCUUCUUUAAUAAAUCCGUCAAGGAAUGCAGUUUUGUUUAUCCCUUUGCCAGAUUUCAUAAAAUGCGGCAAUUGCUAACAUGAUUCGGACAGACUUAAGCAUAGAUACGAGUGAGAAACUCUCAUCGUAGUCAACAUCUUGAACUUGUCGAAAACCUUUUUGCGACAAUUCUAGCUUUGUAGAUAGUGAUACUACUAUCAGUGUCCGUCUUCCUCUUGACAAUCCAUUUAUUCUCAAUUGCUUGCCGAUCAUCGGGAAAGUCAACCAAAGUCCACACUUUGUUCUCAUACAUGGAUCUCAUCUCAGAUUUCAUGGCCUCAAGCCAUUUUGCGGAAUCUGGGCUCACCAUCGCUUCUUCAUAGUUCGUAGGUUCGUCAUGGUCUAGUAACAUAACCUCCAGAACAGGAUUACCGUACCACUCUGGUGCGGAUCUUACUCUGGUUUACCUACGAGGUUUGGUAGUAACUUGAUCUGUAGUUACAUGAUCAUCAUCAUUAACUUCCUCACUAAUUGGUGUAGAAGUCACAGGAACAGAUUUCUGUGAUCCAAUAAGGGAGCAGGUACAGUUACCUCAUCAAGUUCUACUUUCCUCCCACUCACAUCUUUCGAGAGAAACUCCUUCUCUAGAAAGGAUCCAUACUUAGCAACGAAUGUCUUGCCUUCGGAUCUGUGAUAGAAGGUGUACCCAACUGUCUCCUUUGGGUAUCCUAUGAAGACACAUUUCUCCGAUUUGGGUUUGAGCUUAUCAUGAUGAAUUUUUUUCACAUAAGCAUCGCAACCCCAAAAUUUUAAGAAACGACAACUUUGGUUUCUUGCCAAACCACAGUUCAUAAGGCGUCGUCUCAAUGGAUUUUGAUGGUGCCCUAUUUAACGUGAAUGUAGCUAUCUCUAAUGCAUAACCCAAAAAGAUAGUGGUAAAUUGGUAAGAGACAUCAUAGAUUGCACUAUAUCCAAUAAAGUACGGUUAUGACGUUCGGACACACCAUUACACUGUGGUGUUCCAGGUGGCGUGAGUAGUGAAACUAUUACACAUUGUUUUAACUGAAGGCCAAACUCGUAACUCAAAUAUUUUACCUCUGCGAUCAUAUCGUAGAAACUUUUAUUUUCUUGUUACGAUGAUUCUCCACUUCACUCUGAAAUUCUUUGAACUUUUCAAAUGUUUCAGACUUUGUGUUUCAUCAAGUAGAUAUACCCAUAUCUGCUCAAAUCAUCUGUGAAGGUCAGAAAAUAAUGAUACCUGCUACGAGCCUCAAUAUUCAUCGGACCACAUACAUCUGUAUGUAUGAUUUCCAACAAAUCUGUUGCUCUCUCCAUAGUUCCGGAGAACGGCGUUUUAGUCAUCUUGCCCAUGAGGCACGGUUCGCAAGCAUCAAGUGAUUCAUAAUCAAGUGAUUCCAAAAUCUCAUCAGUAUGGAGUUUCUUCAUGCGCUUUACACCAAUAUGACCUAAACGGCAGUACCACAAAUAAGUUGCACUAUCAUUACUAACUUUGCAUCUUUUGGCUUCAAUAUUAUGAAUAUGUGUAUCACUACGAUCGAGAUCCAACAAACCAUUUUCGUUGGUGUGUAUGACCAUAAAGGUUUUAUUCAUGUAAACAGAACAACAAUUGUUCUCUAACUUAAAUGAAUAACCGUAUUGCAAUAAACAUGAUCAGAUCAUAUUCAUGCUCAACGCAAACACCAAAUAACACUUAUUUAGUUUCAACACUAAUACCGAAAGUACAGGGAGUGUGCGAUGAUGAUCAUAUCAAUCUUGGAACUACUUCCAACACACAUCGUCACCUCGCCUUUUACUAGUCUCUGUUUAUUCUGCAACUCCCGUUUUCGAGUUACUACUCUUUAGCAACUGAACCAGUAUCAAUUACCGAGGGGUUGCUAUAAACACUAGUAAAGUACACAUCAAUAAUCUGUAUAUCAAAUAUACCUUUGUUUACUUUUACUAGUCUCUGUUUAUUCUGCAACUCCCGUUUCGAGUUACUACUCUUAGCAACUGAACCAGUAUCAAUUACCGAGGGGUUGCUAUAAACACUAGUAAAGUACACAUCAAUAAUCUGUAUAUCAAAUAUACCUUUGUUCACUUUGCCAUCCUUCUUAUCCACCAAAUAGUUGGGGUAGUUCCGCUUCUAGUGACCAGUCCCUUUGCAGUAGAAGCACUUAGUCUCAAGCUUAGGACCAGACUUAGGCUUCUUCACUUGAGCAGCAACUUGCUUGCCGUUCUUUUUGAAGUUCCCCUUUUUCCCUUUGCCCUUUUCUUGAAACUAGUGGUCUCGUCAACCAUCAACACUUGAUGUUUUUCUUGAUUUCUACCUUCAUCGAUUUCAGCAUCACGAAGAGCUCGGGAAUUACUUUCGUCAUCCCUUGCAUACUAUAGUUCAUCACGACGUUCUACUAACUUGGUGAUGGUGACUAGAGAAUUCUGUCAAUCACUAUUUUAUCUGGAAGAUUAACUCCCACUUGAUUCAAGCGAUUGUAGUACCCAGACAAUCUGAGCACAUGCUCACUUUGAGCGAUUCUCCUCCAUCUUUUAGCUAUAGAACUUGUUGGAGACUUCAUAUCUCUCAACUCGGAUAUUUGCUUGAAAUAUUAACUUCAACUCCUGGAACAUCUCAUAUGGUCCAUGACAUUCAAAACGUCUUUGAAGUCCCGAUUCUAAGCCGUUAAGCAUGGUGCACUAAACUAUCAAGUAGUCAUCAUAUUGAGCUAGCCAAACGUUCAUAACGUCUGCAUCUGCUCCUGCAAUAGGUCUGUCACCUAGCAGUGCAUCAAGGACAUAAUUUUUCUGUGCAGCAAUGAGGAUAAUCCUCAGAUCACGGAUCCAAUCCGCAUCUUUGCUACUAACAUCUUUCAACAUAAUUUUCUCUAGGAACAUAUAAAAAAUAAAACAGGGAAGCAACAACGCGAGCUAUUGAUCUACAACAUAAUUUGCAAAAUACUAUCAGGACUAAGUUCAUGAUAAAUUUAAGUUCAAUUAAUCAUAUUACUUAAGAACUCCCACUUAGAUAGAUAUCCCUCUCAUCAUCUAAGUGAUUACGUGAUCCAAAGCAACUAAACCAUGUCCGAUUAACACGUGAGAUGGAGUAGUUUCAAUGGUGAACAUCACUAUGUUGGUCAUAUCUACUAUAUGAUUCACGCUCGACCUUUCGGUCUCUGUGUUCCGAGGCCAUAUCUGUAUAUGCUAGGCUCGUCAAGUUUAACCUGAGUAUUCUGCGUGUGCAACUGUUUUGCACCCGUUGUAUUUGAACGUAGAGCCUAUCACACCCGAUUAACACGUGGUGUCUCAGCACGAAGAACUUUUGCAACGGUGCAUACUCAGGGAGAACACUUUUAUCUUGAAAUUUUAGUGAGAGAUCAUCUUAUAAUGCUACCGUCAAUCAAAGCAAGAUAAGAUGCAUAAAGGAUUAACAUCACAUGCAAUCAAUAUAAGUGAUAUGAUAUGGCCAUCAUCAUCUUGUGCUUGUGAUCUCCAUCUUCGAAGCACCGUGCUUGUGAUCUCCAUCUCCGAAGCACCGUCAUGAUCACCAUCGUCACUGGCGCGACACCUUGAUCUCCAUCGUAGCAUCGUUGUCGUCUCGCCAACUUAUUGCUUUUACGACUAUCGCUACCGCAUAGUGAUAAAGUAAAACUAUUACAUGGCGAUUGCAUCUCAUACAAUAAAGCGACAACCAUAUGGCUCCUGCCAGUUGCCGAUAACUCGGUUACAAAACAUGAUCAUCUCAUCCAACACAUUAUAUCAUGUCUUGACCAUAUCACAUCACAACAUGCCCUGCAAAAACAAGUUAGACGUCCUCUACUUUGUUGUUGCAAGUUUUACGUGGCUGCUACGGGCUUAGCAAGAACCGUUCUUACCUACGCAUCAAAACCACAACGAUAGUUUGUCAAGUUGGUGCUGUUUUAACCUUCGCAAGGACCGGGCGUAGCCACACUCGGUUCAACUAAAGUGAGAGAGACAGACACCCGCCAGUCACCUUUAAGCAACGAGUGCUCCGAACGGUGAAACCAGUCUCGCGUAAGCGUACGCGUAAUGUCGGUCCGGGCCACUUCAUCUCACAAUACCGCUGAACCAAAGUAUGACAUGCUGGUAAGCAGUAUGACUUAUAUCGCCCACAACUCACUUGUGUUCUACUCGUGCAUAGCAUCAACGCAUAAAACCAGGCUCUGAUACCACUGUUGGGGAACGUAGUAAUUUCAAAAAAAUUCCUACGCACACGGAAGAUCAUGGUGAUGCAUAGCAACGAGAGGGGAGAGUGUUGCCCACGUACCCUCGUAGACCGACAGCGGAAGCGUUAUCACAACGCGGUUGAUGUAGUCGUACGUCUUCACGAUCCGACCGAUCAAGUACCGAACGUACGGCACCUCCGAGUUCUACACACGUUCAGCUCGAUGACGUCCCUCGAACUCCGAUCCAGCCGAGUGUUGAGGGAGAGUUUCGUCAGCACGACGGCGUGGAGACGAUGAUGAUGUUCUAUCGACGCAGGGCUUCGCCUAAGCUCCGCAAUGAUAUUAUCGAGGUGUAAUUUGGUGGAGGGGGGCACCGCACACGGCUAAAAGAUCUCAAGGAUCAAUUGUUGUGUCUCUGGGGUGCCCCCCUGCCCCCGUAUAUAAAGGAGCAAGGGAGGAGGAGGCCGGCCCUAGGAGGGGGCGCACCAAGUGUGGAGUCCUACUAGGACUCCCUAGUCCUAGUAGGAUUCCACCUCCCAUAUGGAAUAGGAAAAGAGGAAGGGAAAAAGAGAAGGAAGGAAGGGGGCGCCCCCCUUCCCUAGUCCAAUUCGGACCAGACCAAGGGGAGGGGUGCGGCCACCCUUGAGGCCCUUUUUCUUCUUUCCCGUAUGGCCCAAUAAGGCCCAAUACGUAUUCCCGUAACUCUCCGGUACUCCGAAAAAUACCCGAAUCACUCGGAACCUUUCCGAAGUCCGAAUAUAGUCGUCCAAUAUAUCGAUCUUUACGUCUCGACCAUUUCGAGACUCCUCGUCAUGUCCCUGAUCUCAUCCGGGACUCCGAACUCCUUCGGUACAUCAACAUACAUAAACUCAUAAUAAAACUGUCAUCGUAACUUUAAGCGUGCGGACCCUACGGGUUCGAGAACUAUGUAAACAUGACCGAGACACGCCUCUGGUCAAUAACCAAUAGCGGGACCUGGAUGCCCAUAUUGGCUCCCACAUAUUCUACGAAGAUCUUUAUCGGUCAGACCGCAUAACAACAUACGUUGUUCCCUUUGUCAUCAGUAUGUUACUUGCCCGAGAUUCGAUCGUCGGUAUCUCGAUACCUAGUUCAAUCUCGUUACCGGCAAGUCUCUUUACUCGUUCCGUAACACAUCAUCCCACAACUAACUUAUUAGUCACAAUGCUUGCAAGGCUUAUAGUGAUGUGCAUUACCGAGUGGGCCCAGAGAUACCUCUCCGACAAUCGGAGUGACAAAUCCUAAUCUCGAAAUACGCCAACCCAACAAGUACCUUUGGAGACACCUGUAGAGCACCUUUAUAAUCACCCAUUUACGUUGUGACGUUUGGUAGCACAUAAAGUGUUCCUCCGGUAAACGGGAGUUGCAUAAUCUCAUAGUCAGAGGAACAUGUAUAAGUCAUGAAGAAAGCAAUAGCAACAUACUAAACGAUCGGGUGCUAAGCUAACGGAAUGGGUCAAGUCAAUCACGUCAUUCUCCUAAUGAGGUGAUCUCGUUAAUCAAAUGACAACUUAUGUCUAUGGCUAGGAAACAUAACCAUCUUUGAUUAACGAGCUAGUCAAGUAGAGGCAUACUAGUGACACUCUGUUUGUCUAUGUAUUCACACAUGUAUUAUGUUUCCGGUUAAUACAAUUCUAGCAUGAAUAAUAAACAUUUAUCAUGAUAUAAGGAAUUAAAUAAUAACUUUAUUAUUUCCUCUAGGGCAUAUUUCCUUCAGAGACGUCUUCCCAACCGUACGUGUGUUGAACGCGGAGGUGCCGUCCGUUCGGCGCUCGGUCAUCGGUGAUUUGGAUCACGACGAGUAUGACUCCAUCAACCCCGUUCACUUGAACGCUUCCGCUCGCGAUCUACAAGGGUAUGUAGAUGCACUCCUCUCUCUCGUUGCUAGAUGAAUCCAUAGAUUGAUCUUGGUGAUGCGUAGAAUUUUUUUAAUUUCUGCAACGAUCCCCAACAACACGGAGGUUAAUUCCCAUGAAGAAAUUGAAAAUCUCAAGGCCCACAUCAGCUAAAUGGGAAGGAUUUCACCAGAAGCAACCAGCGCGCAUGAUUUCCAUGCACCUUGCAGCAACAUCAUCAUAUAAUUGGUUUAAUGGAUUGCUUAUGUUGUCGAUGGUGUUGUGUUUGAUUAGAUUUUAAAGGUGGAGCACGAUAGGUGUGUGAUAGACGCACAAUGGAAACCUUGGAUUUGAGGUGGCACCAUUACGAUUACCAACAAAUUAAUUAAUUAAGUAGUAACCGCUUGAUACAAAUUGUGCCGUGUAAUGAACUAGUGAAAUGAUAGCCUUUUAUAUGAUGUAAUAUUGUAUGGCAAAUAGUCCAUCAAAUCAAGACAGGUUAUUGGUUAGGUUUAGAGAACAUGAGCUUGAAUAGUUGAGAAAUCAAUCACUGAUUUUAUCUUUAGAGUUGCAGUCACUAAAUUAUUACUAGCUAGUAAGCUCACUCCCUCUCUCUCAACAGUCACCACUAAAUGAUUCCCCUUCUAGAUUGCGUCACGGUUGUUGAAUAAAACGAUGAUCAAAAGCUAACAACCUUUAGUGAAAACAAUAUGUGCAUUAUUUCCUUUCCAUGGAAAAAACAUGCCAAAAUAGAUUGCUAGCUAGAGAGUUUGGAGGCAGAAGAAAAGAAAUUAAUAGUGAUAGCAUAACAGUUGCACAGUGUUCUUCGGUUUGUUGUUACCUUACCCAAACACCCAUAUGACAACAUCGAAUCCAAAUCAAACCACCAACCUUAAUCUACCAGUAUAAACCACCUAAUCAAUUUUCUGUGAACAAGCAAGAUAGUCUAAAG
rnacentral:lncRNA from 1 species